CAUUCUCAUCUGACAAGUUGGCAGCACAAGAUAGUGAUGAUUCUGACUAUGAGGUAUUUAGAGUUAAGAGACGGUCUGGCAUAGUUCUGGAGAAAAGAUGUUCAGAAGAUGUAACAACAAAUUUAACUGAGAAUCAGGUAUCAGUUUUUUUUUGGUUGAAUUUUCUACUCUAACUGCUACCUUCUCCAUUUAAGAGUGGAUGGCAAUGCAGUAUGCUUGUAGCUGAAACAUUUGUAACUUUGACAAAUAAUGAUAAUGAUUAGAGCGGUCAUAUGAAGUUAGCUUUUGUACUGAGGGAGGCCAGAAGACAUGGUUUGAUGGAGAAUUGGGGAACAUUGGAAUGCAAGGUUAAAACAAAAAUUGGGCUGAGAGAAUAUUGGGUAUAAAAUCCAUAAGACCUUGGUCCUUGUUUGCUUGAUUUCCAGGAUAAUAUGUCCCUUCCUAUUUCCAUAAAAAAACGGCCCCCUUUAUAUGAUGAUGGAUCACUCAACUUCUAAUCUAACCAAGGUCCAGACUCAAUCUGACUGGGUUCGUUAUCCAGACUCAAUCCAGGAUAAAACUAGAUCUUUGAUUUCUGUUGGAUUUGACUUCUUUGUCCUCCUGGACGUCUUGCUAUUCGCUAGCACUGGACUUGGUGCCUGCAUAUCUGUGCUUGCCUUACCAUAUGUCGCCUAUGCAUCGUUGCUGCACCUCCUGUGUGAGUCCAAAUCCACAAUUUUGCAGCCAUUCCAGACAAGCAGGCUCACCUUUGAGCUGCAGGACUUUAUCUAACUCAACUUAUUGUUCGUCGGACACUUAAACAUCUUAUUUUUCUUGGAUUUCAACUUCUUAUUCUUCGUAGACUGUUAUCCACUAGUUUUGGAUUCCUGCACCUGCGGGAUUGUGCUGCAGCAUGCCAAUAUGUUGCUGGUGAACCUGCUGUGAUUCGUCCACAAUACCACUACAGUAUAUUUGCGCGUCGAGCUCACCUCGCCUCGCUUGGCAAGGUCAGCCUUGCUGGCGAAGGAGAGCUAUUUUGGCUCGCCCAGCUUGACAUAGAAAAAGCUUGAAAGCUCGAUCCCCGAGGCAGCUAGCUAGACAACCAAAUCCAUUGGUGCAGUGCCUAUCCUUGCUAAGUCAGGCAAUACAGUACCGAGCAAGAAUACCAAACGCGCCCUUAGUUAACAGGACGGUUUCAUUGAGUGAAUAGACAGGAGACAAAUGCUCAACCCUUUUUUUUCCCCAGAACUUUCAGUAUUUACCUAGAGUCACACUGCCUACUCUCUUACUAAUGGCUUCCUCAUUGUUCCCAAUGCUAGGUUUUGAGACGGUUGAAGAAAGCCCGUUCAGAUGGCAGACAAGAGAAGAGGGCAACAGAAGUAUCCUGUGGUACAAGAAGUGACAGUAUGCGUAUUGAAUCACAUUGUGUUGACUCUGUUUCUGGUAAUAGAGAAAGCCUCAUCAAUGGAACCAAAUUGAAGAUGAUACAUCAGUUAGAUGUAACUAUUGUGGAAGAUGAUGUUGGUUUCAGCCAGAAAUCUAAUUAUUGCAGUUACCUAUCUCCAUCUGUAGAUCUUGGGCCAAAACGCUUGAAAAUUCGUGGCCCAUCCUUCCCCAGUACAAUUUCUGAAGUGGAAAUAUCUUACAGAUUCCAGGAGGACAGUGAUUUGGCUAGUCAUCACACUCAAUGAGGUAUGCUGCUAUUGGUGCUAACUGCUAACACCACGUAAGUUAACAUCAAUCGUAACUUCUGGAAGAUGAAGGCUCCUUUUUCACUGGAUGGUUCAGAUCUGAUUCUUUCUACAGGCCUCCAAUAGAGGCACUGUUAUGGCUGGAUUCAUGAUUCUACUGCCAGGUGACCUACGUGGCAUGGGACAUGAAAAAGCUAUAGGCAGACAAUUUUUCUGAUCCUCCUUAGCUGUACAUUUUCACUUAUUUCCUUUUCUUGUAGGUUUUCCACUGUGAAGAGGUUAGUCUACUUUUAACGAUUUCUUUCAUUCUUUUUCCACCACAGAUACACCUGUACCUAGAAUGCUUAAAUACAUCGACAUACUAAAUGGAUAUUGUACAUCUUUUAACGAGUCAGUCUACAUUCUACUGGUCUUUCCUCCUUUUUGUAAUCUGGAAUCAUUGCAUUUCUUAUUCUUGUGUCAUUGUUGGUACUGGUACAUUUGUCCCCAGAUGUGUUGAUAACUUUGAUAUAUAAAUCGAUUGACGCUGACAGGAAUUCACCACCACUGACUGUCAUGUUGCAUAUGCAACAAAGUAGAUGCUUUGUGAUAAUGUUGAUGGGCAUGGAAAUGCUCGAAUCAAUCAUGUUCUAUGGAAAGUGGGUAUAACAGAAGGAAUAAAGGAGCAAUUCAGUCGCAACUCCUUGCUCUUAGAUCCUAAUCUGCUUAAAUCUGUCACAUAAGAUUUACUUUCUCUUUUAAAUUUAUUAUAUAAUAUUUGAUUACCCAAUUAUUUUAGUUCCAUUACAAAUCUGAUUGGUUAGCUAUGUAGGUAAUUUGACUUAUUGUCCCAUAAUUGGCUUCCAAUUGUAGAAUGAAUUCGUCCAAUCUAACUCCCGGCAAGACUUGAGGUAGUCUAGGUAGAAAUCACUUGCUGUUUCUUGUCUUAAUGCUUUUAUGAAAUUCAUCAAGUUAGGCAUCAUACCUCAUAUGAUUAAGCUUUGCAUAGCAUACUAAAUUACACUAUCAUGGUGGGACAAGCAUAAUAGCCCAGUGCUCAACUUCUUACUUUCACUUACCCAAUGGACCAUCAUUCUCGUCCACCUGUUGAGAAACUGACAACACCAUGAGGGCAUAUAAGAGCCAUUAACUGGACAGUUUGGUAUGAUUUUUGCACGACUAUCGUGGCUUUGCGUCCGUAAAGAGGCUAGUCCUUCACGAAAAGCUGAUGAUGGGGUUCAUAUGGAAAGAUUUGAUAUCUUUUCUCACUUUGCCUAUUCACUUUUCAUUCUUUUGUGCAUGUUCUCAAAAAUAUACAUGUCAUCAAAUCAUCGCAUGUCUUUAAAGACAAGUAAAAGAAAGACGGAUUCUCUUUGCUGCCACUCUCCAAUGUCGAUGAUGAUUAACUGCUGAGUGCUGACUGAAGCUUUGUCAAGACCCAAGAAGACUGCACUUUGUUCCCGUCCUGUUUUCUAUGCGGCUUUCAUGUCAGCCUCAUCCUGAUAUUAGAAGACUUAUUUCCUAAUCGGCAAGGGCGCAGCAUUAAGGCGGAGAUAUGCUUCAUAUAAACUGUAAGUGCGCCUAAGAUGCCCUUGGUUUUAUGUCAUCUCUUAUUUAUGAAUCUUGUUCAAAGAUAAAUGUUCCAUAUCCUAAUUAGGAAACGACCGCAGCUCCUAUGUCUAGGCUAAUUGAAGAAAAUAAUCUCCUGAUGGAAUCUAGUAAUUGCAUUAUUGCCCGCACAUCACAUCAGACAGGUCUAAAUCACUGCUGCAUCCAACUAGUCUGAUUGAAGAAGAAAAAAUCGAUCCUUCCCAACUUUUUCACACAGUUGCCACCAUGGUCACAGUCUAAAUGCCUCAAGACAUUUAGGACGAAAGUACCAUCCGCCACUUUUGCCAUGUGCUUAUUGUCCAAAAUGCUAAUAACUCAAGCUAGGCAUUGCUCGCAUGGUCUUCUGCCUGCUGCUAGGCUACAUGUGGUAUCGGAAAGCUGCAACUGGCUAACAUACUGGUAUGGUUUAAUAGAGUGGGGCCUGUCGAGUCAUGCCUUGGCUUCCCAGUUUCCCUUUGCAUGCACCUCUGCUCGAUUUAAGUUGGUGGCAGAGUUAAGCCAGAUGACGCUUCAUUCCAAUAUUUUCUGCGCCGUUGUGGGCUCGUGGGUUCGGCCUCAGCAUAGGUCCAUGACCAUGCUAUGCACGCAAGCAGUGCACGCUGAUGCGUGUACCUUGUUGAGUAAAUUGUUGCAUGGCCUCUGCCUCUGCCUGGCCAUGAAUGGAUAUCAAAAUCCUCAACCAGAUGUGACCACACUCUGGAAGGAGACAAAUCAUUAAAGGCCACAGAGUUCAAGGCCUUCCAUAUCUUGACCUACCUGCUCACUGCUCAGUACGAUGGACCAAAAUCCUGGUAUACAUACGCCUUGGUAGGUCAUGUACUCAUGUAUAGUACUGGUAUAGCGUCUCAUUCACAUGUUAGGAGUCAGGGCUGUAGGAGUACAAAACUUGGGAUUAAGGGCAUGCCCCCAACCGAGUUGUGCAGGCUUGUUUGGUCUGAAAGUUCUGCACGGCCCAGGAAUUGAAAUCUUUAGUCUGCUACUGUAGAAACUGGGGAACCAGGAGAGUACGUACAAUUCACGUGUAUGACUCAGUCUGGACCUUGCAAAUUCAAGUGAGACUGAAUUUACUGAAACCAUGUGGCAGUGCUGAUCUAGUUUACAGCACAGCCCUUUGCUGUACCACGACAUUUAGCUCGUCUAUAUUUGAAAAAUAAAACAGAUGCUUCUUGUCACGCCGGGGCUAACUGCAUGCGGUGCUUAGUCAUCCAAAUCCCCCGCUAAACAAAACAGCUAGUGGCCUAAGCAGAUCGGGCUUUUUAAUAUAGUAAUGAUUAUACAAUCAUCCCCCUUGUCGGCAUCGGGCAUAUCUUAUUCCUACUUACUAGAUCAAAUCAGAUUUGUUCUGUAGUGGCUUCUAUUGUCAGUUCGUGAAUUGCUUAAUGCAGUAGUAAUAUACCCGCCUCCCGCAGCAUAUUUUGCUGCCCUUUGACUGAUUAGUCAUUUCUCCAUGUCAACGUCACGGAUUUAAGUAUUCAUCUUGUCUGUGCAUGGAAUCUGGUGUCCUUGAUUAUCAAAUCCACACAACACUUGUGGAUGCCCUUGGUAUAUGAGUGUUUGCUACAGUCAGCACGAAGAUAAAAACAGAACUGCCACAGUACACUGUACCAGCUCCAGUACAUUAGCAAGGUCUGGAUGGUAGACUAACAAUACUGUAAUGUAAUCCUCCCCCACUCCACCAUCAUGGUCAAAUUGUGGGCGAGGUGCUGUUUUGACUGUCGGUAGCUGGACAGGGACACGGACGGUGGGUUCCCCCGGGGAUCUGGCCGUAUGAUGGGCGGGGGCCAACGGGCCAACCGGUCACGGAGGGUGUGAUGGGGCAUCAUUUACAAGCGGCGCAGGCCGCAGGCGACCCGCUCCUUGGGCGUUAUGUGCGUGACUCCACUUCACAUUUACAAACAGCACCAGCUGUUGGCCUCACCGCUGCUGUCUCCAUCCGUGCACAUGGCGUGAUGCCGGGGGAUUGUUCUUCUUAUGUUACCGCUGCUAUGGCUUUGUUAAGCAAUGCGUGCAUGUCUCCCUGCCGUGGACUCUGCACACGUCACGCGGAAAGGGCGGUUGGGGAAUCGCUUUCGCUUUAGUUUCAGUGUCCGGAAACAGUUGGGCACGUCGGUUUGGAGGCGAUGUUGCUCGCUGCAAGAUCAUUUCUGAUCCAGAACAGCACGACUGCCAUGUUCAUGCUACCGAGCCCGCCUGAAUCGGGUACGUGGGAAUAAUGGUAGUGUCCGGUUAUUUGAUUGCCUGUGCUGUGUAGUUUCAGGUUUUUCUCCCCAAAACAAAUUUUAUGGCUGUGACUACUGGCCAGUUAGCUCUUUUCUCCUUCCACUGGUUGUGGAAAAGUGAGCAUUAGUCCCGGUUGGAGAGACGAAUAGGUCUCGAAAAUCUAACCGGGACUAAUCUUUCGAAACUAAAGGUCCCCCUCUUUAGUCCCGGGUAUUUCAUCCGGGACUAAAGACCACCUUUAGUCCCGGUUGGUAUUACCAAUUUGGAACUAAAAAUGUUCCAAAAAAAAGUGGGCCACCAACAUCCUGCCCCCUGCAACUCCGCCUUGACCACCGUACCACCGAGCUCCAACUCCACCACAGAAACAAUCAAAACAAUUAACACUUCACAAAUUGAAGCAAGAGACAUGCUAACACACAACCAAUCAAUUCGCACAAGAUUCUGAUUCACAAUACAUCACAAUCAUAAAUGAAUCAUUCACUAACGAAUCAUGCACUACCACUCACAAAGGAAACAUUCACCGGCUUCUCGUAUCCACAAGCUCCCCUGCUCGCCAUCUUGCCCGCACGUGCGCUAGCGGCGGCAGGCGGUCAGGGGUCGGCCGAGAAGGGCUCAUGCGCCCGCGUGGCCGGCAACCUACCGAGGGGUAUCCCGAGGUACUAGAUUGGUUGGUGGGGGAUCGCCAGAUCUAGAACUCGAAGGUAAAAGUGAGGACACAAGACACAGAUUUAUACAGGUUCGGGCCGCCAGAGUAGCGUAAUACCCUACGUCCUGUUUGGGGCGUUGUAUAUUGCGACCUGCGCUUGGGUGUUGUUUGGUGUUGAGGAUUUGUUCUUUGUUGUGUAGCCUGAUUGUUGGCUAUUGAUGAUAGUUUUUUCAAUCUAGGUAUCCCUGCCUUCAUUAUAUAUUCAGGUGCGGGAUUACUAGUAGGCUACAAGGUAGGAUUACAGGGUACGAGUCCUAGUAGGAUUAUAGCGGAAUCCUAGUAGGAGUCCGGUUUCUUCCUUUCUUGCGGGUACUGGGGAUCUAUCCCUGAUAAGCCCCCGAGUGCUUCAUAGUUGAAUGUAGUAAGUCUUCGAGUACUUUUCAGAUUCUCAUCGAGUAAUUUUGGUGCUCUUCGAGUACUUUGUCUGGUUGAAUCUUCAAAAUUCCUCAAAACUGCCAUGAGGCUAUGGUGUGCUCAAGCACUUGAUCGUCUUGAUUUUGUAAUCUUCAUCUUUGGAAUGUGAUAUGGAGGGCGGCGAAAGUCACACUCCAUAUGGAGUAGGCCCCGAACCUUAGGUUGAAUCGAAAAAUACGGCUGAGGGUCAAUAAAAUCUUGAACCUUCUUCUUUCAUCUUGAAAAAAAUCAACUAUGGGGAGUAGCUUAUUAGCCCCGGAGCUUUGAAAUAAUUAAAUAAUCAAUCCAAGGGUCUAGCGAGCUUAAUCUUCACGCCAGUUAUCAUCUGAGUAGUUUUGCGGCGUCCAACCCCUGAGCUUAUGCGCCAAGUGAGCCUGGGAGCCACACCGAGUAGUUAUUGGCACUUAGCCCUCGAGCUUGGAAGCUAGCUGAGCCAUUGGAGAUAUUUUGAGUAGUAAUUGACGCUUAGCCUCCGAACCUAGGAGGUAGGAAAGCCAUUGGACGUACGCUGAGCGUCCUGAAGAGUCAUCGCUGAAGCUUGAUCAGAAAAAAGAUAUGCAUACAUUAUGCAACAUAUUGUGCAAUAUUAAAACUACUGAAAUUUAUUCAGUGAUGAAUAUAAAUGUUGUAUGUCAUGCUCUUAUUUCGGCCAUAUUUCUCCCGAGUAGUUAGCCUGUUAUGUUUCCCAGUCCCUGUUUAGCCAUUGCCACUGCGUGUGAGAUCUUUGUCUCGUGUACGCGUACUGGCACUGUUGCUACGGAGAUCUUUGUCUCACAUCCUACGUUUAGGUAUGACAGAAGAUUCGAGGCUUUCACGGAUUAAGGCGUGUUCUGCGAGGAUAUUAGUGACCACUAAAAUAAGACAUUUAAAAUAAGUAGUCGGCAUUGCGACAAAAAGACUGCGCAAUUGCACGUAAAGUAGUCAUUGAGACUUUUUUGCCUUUUGGCGAGAAGAGUGCGUGUUGCCGCGCAAAGAAUUAGUGCGUCCAUAGGGUGUAGCCAUUGAGUCUCCAACACUCAAUGCAUCAAACUCGUGUCCAUAGCCUCCGUAAUUCGAUAUACCAAGCCCGUAGCGGAGCUUCCGGAACUCAGUGCACAAAACUCAUGGCUAUAGCCUCCAUAAUUCGAUGUACCAAGCCCAUGGCUGUCGGUUAACAUGCCUCAGGAAUAAUUGGCAAAGUGUAGCUCUGGAGGGUAAUUUCCGGCAAGAGGCGUACAUAAAAAAGUACUCAGCGCGUUGCCUUGCAUGCGGAAAACAAGCCAUAAAAACUAUAUAAAAUAAUUAAAAAAGUAGCUUGAUUCGUGGACGAUUGUUGACGAAGCCGUGGCGGUAGUCGUGAAACCGUGACGGUUGUUGAUGAAGCCGACUAGUCGGAGUCAAUUUCGACUAGUUGUUGAUCACGUGGAACCCGCCCUCGACUAGUUUGUAGUCGAGACGAGAAGUUUUAGGUAGUCAUUAUUGUGUUGUUGAACGUUCCGGUGAAGCCAGCGCAAUCAUGCAUGCUGAAGUCCCACGUGCAUUUUUGCAGAAUGUGUAGUGAAGAGGAACAGAUUUCCUGGUGGUCGUACGUGUAUUGAAACUCGAAAAAGUAGCCUUGCACGAAAAGUACUCGAGCUGAUAGUUUCCUCGAUCCGCGCACAAGCCGUAGAUGAAAUAUUGAUUGGCCUUCAUUGCUUCAGUAUAGGAUUCAGCGACUGGAGGCAAUUAGGUUAAGAUGCAUCGUCGGUGACUUCGACUCGGAGACGGAAAAAUAAUUCUGCCGAUUUUUCCUUCUCACGCGCGUGGAGCAGUAGCGGAUCAUCAACUUUAAGCGACGCACGGAGCCACAGAGAAUGAUCAGCUAUAGCAGUGUGACAUGCAGACGAGCCGACAACCGAUUGAUGUCCCUCAAGCUUCUCGUAUCCGUUUCGAAUUGGAACUCGACGACUUGCUUCUCAUCGAGUAGAUUGAUUUUGAAGAUGAGGUCCUUCAAGCUCGCCCGAUGAUUUCGACGAUCACCCCUACCUAGCGCGCCAGAUAUCGGUGUUUUAUAUCUUGCAACCUACCGAGGGGUAUCCCGAGGUAAUAGAUUGGUUGGUGGGAAAUCGCCGAACCUGGAACUCGAAGCUAAAAGCGAGGACACAAGAUACAGAUUUAUAUAGGUUCCGGGCUGCUAGAGUAGUGUAAUACCCUACGUCCUGUUUGAGGUGUUGUUUGGUGUUGAGGAUUUGAUCCUCUGUUGUGUAGCCUGAUUGUUGGCUAUUGAUGAUGGUUCUUCCAAUCUAGGUACCCCUGUCCUCCUUUAUAUACUCAAGGGGCGGGAUUACUAGUCGGUUACAAGGUAGGAGUUCUAGUAGGAUCACAGGAUUACAGUGGAAUCCUAGAAGGAGUCCAGCUUCUUCCUUAAGAACUAUUCCUGACAUGCGCGCUGGCAGCCCAAGGAGGCUGUGUGGCCGGCGGCCAGGGGGUCGGCUGGGGAGACCCGCGCGCUGGCAGCAGCUAGUGGAGGGAGGAGAGAGUAGGAGAUGGAGGAGAGGAAGCGGUGGAGGGAGAGGGAGGCUAGUUGUGGGGAAAGGAUAAGGUAGUGGGGAGAGAGAUGAGGCCAGUGGGUGAUAAAGGCUGCCUGACUGGUGUGGAGGGAGAGAGUCCAUCGGUGGAAUAAAAAAAGAGGGAUAUAGUCCCGGUUGUUGGUUUUAACCGGGAUUAAAGAUCGCCAUUUAGUCCCAGUUGAAACGACCAACUCGGACUAAAUCUUUAGUCCCGGUUGAAAACACCAAUCAGGACUAAAUGCCCCCACCAUAUUUCCUCGCUAUUCCUAACCAUUACAACCGGGACUAAAAGGGGCUCUUUAGUCCCGAUUGAUAUUACUAACUGGACUAAAGAGCCCCGCGGAGCUAGUUUUUGGACUCGUGACUAAAGCUCUUCUAGUUUCGGGUUAAAAACGGCUGAGAGACUUUUGCAGGUAGAUGGAAGGUGACCCUCUCCAAAUCUGUCGCCAUAUCCGCCUAUCCCUACAGUUAGCUCGUGUUGCCGCACAGUGUGUCUUUCUGCGCCAUCACAUUCGUGCUUUCUUUGCUCGGGCGCUAUAGCCCUGAUCCCUACCCGCGCGUGGUACCCCCGCUCUCUCGCUCGUUUAGUGUUAUCCCAAAUGCACCCGUCACGUUACUGUGCGCGACACGUCGCGUCACGUCACGUAUGUCCUGGAGGAAUGUUCAAUUCUCCCACCUGGUACACGCACUUUGGGAGAUCUCCCUCCCUGGCUCUCCUUUUAAGUCCUGCAGGGAAAUUGAUUGAAGCCGGCCGGGAGGUAAAUCGUCGCAGCAGGGAUCGCAAUACGGCAGAUUCUGAUCAGCUUACCCGCUCGGCCAGAUUAAUUUUACCAGCCUCGCGUGCGGAUGCCUCAUGCAUGUGAGCGUGGUGUAUGUACUUAGCGGCCAUGCAGGAACACGAUUUGACCGACAGUAAGGUGCUUCUUUCCCGCGCCGCAGCCGCGUAUUUAAUCGGUCUCUGCGAUCGAUCGAUGUCAAUCGCGGCCGAGAACGCGCACAUGUCCAUUCCUGACACGCGCAUUUGCUGCGGCCGCAUCCGCCAUGUGGCCACGAAGAUUCCAUACACGCGCCAAGGCUCCCUGAAUGUUAAAUAAUGCGUACAGUAAUCGGAUUAGGAGUGCCUAUUGUUGCUACAUACGUUGGUGUGAGUCCCAAUUAUGUAAACUAGAGAAUUGUUUGCGUGCCUGCUGUUUUUUGAAUUGGUCUGGCAUUAUGAUGAACGGGAGAAUAGGUGCAUGUCGUUGCCAAGUACUCCCUACUACACCUACUGCUGAAAUGGAUGUGGGAAACCGCAGAAACGACCAACAAAGCCAGUCUAUCAAACGGUCGAUCGAGAACAAGGAUAAUGAAGUGCGCAGGAUAAUACGGGGUAUGGAAAAGAAUAAACAUGUCAAAUGCAUUUAUUGGAGGACCACGCAGGUCAAAGAAAGAGACAGAAGCUGUUUAAAUUACUACUAGUAGCCUUUAAAACACAAUGCUUGCUACAGUAGACCGUUAGUAGGUACUCCUUCCAUCCAAUAUAAAUAUAGCAAGUUUAGGAUAUGUUUGUAAGAUGACAUUUUAGCCCACAAUUCCUGCAGAACAUGCCAUGUCAAACAAGGAUAAUUUCAUAUUACAAAAGAACCGAUAUGAUAAUCUAGCAAAGUUUAUCUUGAGCAGUCAAUCUACAUAAUUCUUUAUGUAAUGAUGUUUAUUUUUCUAAAAAAAGUUUGACAGGCAAGAUUCCUAAAAUAACAUAUAUUUUGGAUGGGAGGGGACACAGCACAAACACCAGCUAAAUUUAUGUAUAGCAAAACAUAAAAUGUGUGCGGAUAUUUGAGGAAUUUAUAUAAAAAAUAGGUAGGAACCUCCCUGGCCUGACUUAUUUUUUUAGGAAUUUAGUUCAACAUUUCCCAUCAAUGCAAGGAUAAUAAAAAGCUAUGAGAACGGGAGGUGAGGUUUCAAUGCAACCUAUCUAGCUAGCAAAGCUGCUAUCGUUUGGUUCUUUGUGCUGAUGGUGCACUAGCAUGUUUGGCUUGUUGAAAAUAAUACAGAAGUCCACUUAGAUAUAUAAUAUAACCUUCGACCUGUCUGGAUACACAUAAGGCUAAUUGUUAGCUGCUAAAAAUUAGCUUAGUUGAUCCAAACAGUAGGACUAACAUGUGGGAUAAUUGUUAGACGAGCCCUCGAGUAAUUCCAAAUGAAAGGACUAACGCACAGAGAUUAUGAUAGCAAUAAAAUCUUCCUCCUCUUGCAGGCAUAUAUAGGUGACAACCAUUCGAUUGAAGAUGAUAUAGGGAAGAAGCAAAGAUGCAGGAAAAGAGGAGGGUUAUAUACUCCAUCAAUUAGUAGAUCAUUUGCAUAACCAAGGAAAAAAAGGUGAAAAAGUGUAUGUGGGUGUGCAGUGCACGCGCAAGUGUGUGUCCAACUUGUACUUUAAAAAGCUUAUACUACCUAUAUUAUUCGAAAUCCGAAGAUAAUUGUGGAUCACUAUGAUCUAGGAGUAAUCAGCUGGUUAGCUUCUUUCUGUAUUGACCACUGAAUUAUUAGCACCCAAUAAUGCCCACAAGAAUAAGUACACUCACCUAGACGGCACCUAAAUUGUAUGGAUGUCCAUUAACAUAGGGAACAAGCACAUAGCCUGGAAAGGGAAUGUUACCUCACCUCUUACAUUCCCUUCCCUCCCACAGCAUAUAUACAUCCAUCCCUGUCGAAAGUGUCAUUCUCCCACAGCAAUCUGCCCCGAAACACCCCCAAAAGCGCGUGUGUGGAGGGAAAAGAGGAGAGGCCGGGUAGAGCAAAAAAGAAAGCGGAAAGGAAAGCAAAAGGAGAUGCAUGGUGUGGGAGAAAAGACCAAUCUAUAUCUUCCUUCCUAGGCCACCUCCACGCAACAAGCCUCGCCCCCUCCUUUUCACACGACACACUGCACAUACAAAUACAAACACACACUCCUGUCCUUUCCAGUCCAAGUUUCUUCCAACCCUCCCACCCCUCUCUCUAGCCUCUCCGCCUCAACCCCUCUCCCUCUCCUCCCCCUUCUCAACUCCUGCUCUCUCGCACUACACGCACUAGUCGUCUCUUCCCUCCCAAGCGAGAAUUCCCGGCCUCCGCCUCAAUUUCCAUACUUCCCCAACCAAAUAAAGAACAUACUACACGCAGCCAUACUCUCCUCCGAUCCAUCUACGACGAGAUACACCUCCGGUUUCUCGUCACGCACUUCGAGAGAGCAAGAACAUGGAGUUGUUCCCAGCGCACCCGGACCUGCAGCUGCAGAUCAGCCCUCCCCCAGCCACCAAGCCAAUGGAGCUAGGGUUUUGGAAGAGAGCUCUAGACACCACCUCGCCUGCGACCACAACUGCGGCGGCGGCGGCCGUCGCAGCUACCACGGCCCCGUCCCUCUCCUUCGCCUCCUCGGCGCCGACGACAGCCGUGGGAUUCCACGCGGCGGCCGGCGGGCACCAUCAUCAUCAGGCGCCGGGCUCCCACUUCGGCCUCCCGUUCUUGCACCACACGCAGCCCAUCCUCCCCGAGGGCGGCGGCGGCGGCGGCGGCCUCCGGGACCUGGCGUCGAUGAGGCCCAUCCGGGGCAUCCCCGUGUACAACACCUCGCAGCCGCUCCCCUUCCUCCAGAGCCACCCGCACCACCACCACCACCACCAGCAUUGCUACGACGCGAUCGCCGGCAUGGGCCACUCCGGCGGCGGGCCGAGGUCCCCCAAGGCCGCCGCGCUCCGGCUCGCGGGGGCACCGGCGAAGCGGGGGGCGCGCGCGCCGAGGAUGCGGUGGACGACGUCGCUGCACGCGCGGUUCGUCCACGCCGUCGAGCUGCUCGGGGGACACGAGAGUACGCGCCCCCUUUGCCUUGGCCUACGUCGCCAGCUAGAUUGGGUGAAUGAAUGAUUGGGUACUGAUGCUUUUGCUGCUGGCUGUGCAGGAGCUACACCCAAGUCAGUUCUUGAGCUAAUGGACGUGAAGGAUCUGACCUUGGCCCAUGUCAAGUCGCACUUGCAGGUGAGGGAAAUCAACAACUAGUAAAUUAGUACUGCUGAUUACUGUCCCUUAAUUUGUUAGAUACAGUUUCAAAACGGAACGAACGAGCUUGUAUUAGGCUGUUAGCUAGCUUCAUCUCCCCUAGCUAUCAACAUGCUUUGCAUUCCUCCUUGCAUACUCCUACAAUCUAUGAAUGUUCAACCUCUCCCCAAGUCCCCAAUACAACGUACAGAUCUUGUAAUGUUUUUCCUAAAUGAAGAGUAGAAAACUACAUGGUACAUAGUACUAGGCAAGAUAACCACAAGCUAUACUCGUUUCUUCCAUGAUAAAGUUGACCCCUUUUUUUUACAGUUUCACUUGUACUGGUAGCUAUAGUACUGGCCGGUAGCUCAUGCAUGGGAUAAGAUCAUAAGAGUAGCCAUUUUUCACAUCACUUGCCGCGCAGUAAAUUCCUCUAGCGUAUCACCAGCACCCCACCCCCACCCCAUCUCUUCCUCCACGAUAGAGAAAGCGAGCGAGAUGGCUUGUGGGAGACGAGGUACGGUGCUCGCCACCACUGUAGCUGUAGCUUUUCCCAACACGCCGGCCGCGCAGCUUUUCAACGAUAAAACCCCGGUAGAGAGAUCACCGGCAGCUCAGGCCGGAGGGCACAAAAGCACGCAAUGCGGCGACAUGCCAUUAAAAGCCCCACCGGACGGCGCAUGGCGUGGCGCGGCGCGGUGGCGUCGUCGCAGCCGCGGCGGCCCGGCGGGCUGCGCGGGUGGUUUCGCCCGCGACCGAUCCGUCCGCCAUGCGUACGCGCACGCAGGGCCGCCGCAGCAGCAGCAUUGAUAUGCAUACUGCCCAAGAAGAGGUGGCAAGUACAAGCCAGCAUCAUUCCGCAAUAAUUAAUCUUGCCCUUGGAGCUGCCGCUGGCGCGCUCGGCUGGUGCUGGCGCGCUGCACAGUAGCUGAUCGAGCCAUCAAUGCCCCGCUUGGGCAGCCUUAUUUAUUCAUUGGCCCUCCUUGUAGACCAGUACCCCACUUUGACUUCAAUGUGCUUCCUCGAUAUUCCUAUAGCUCGAUCUUGCUAGAGUUUUUCUUCUUUUCUUUUCUUUUCUGCGGUUUGGUCAUCACUCAUCCGCAUGUAUGUCAUCAUCACCACCACAAUAUAAUACAUGGUUGUUUCUUGGUUGCAGAUGUACCGGACCAUCAAGACUACUGACCACAAGCCAGCUUCUGCUUCAUCCUAUGGUAUGUUUACUAGGAUGAUCAUACUGCAUACCCUAGCUACGUGCCAGUGUGCAGUAGCAGCUGGGUCGGAAAAAUUGAUAUUCAAUUAUCUGACUACUCCGUAGAUAAAUUCCAACCAGUUAAGAAUUUAUAUGAGUAUAAAGCCUGUAACAUACUGGUAGAAUAUUUUGCAGGACAAGCAGGUGCCAAGACGAUUAUAGACAUCCCAGACGACAACUUGUUUGACGUCACCAACACUACCAGCGGGUCUGAGUCGUCCGCUCAGCAAUCUAAUCCUGAUGGCAACGAUCAUGGCUCCAGCAUGUGUGCUCUCUGGAGCAACUCCUCGAUAAGGUACAGAGAUGUAUAUGACGCCAUUCCUUUUUCUAAAUCUAUAUGCGGAUAUUGAGUCAUUUCAUUUUGCUAGCCUGGUGUAAUCUGUAUGGUUAGUAGACCGUAUUACCACAUUAUUACUACUUCUAUCUAAAUCCAAAGUACUUGCUUUCUAAGAUAUUCAGGGGUUUUUACCAGCAGAUCUAGCUAGAGAUAUCGAUCAAUUACAUGUGCUAGAGGCUAGACUCGCUCACAAGACUUAGUUGCUACCAUUUCAUGGGUUUAGGUAGUAACAAAGGGAAAGUUAGCUUACAUUAUUCAUGUGAAACUAUGUCUACUCGAUUGUAUAGGUCCAGGAGGUCUUACACACAUGGUCAUAUGACGGCAUAGUGUUAAAAGCACAAACAAAAGUACAUACUCCUCAAAAUACACAUGUACUGCCAAUUAACAAGUUUAGGCUACUUCCCGUGCAUGCAUGUUUCUCAUCUCUCUACAUGCAGUAUGUAUAUGUUCUUCAAGAAUCAGCUGUUACGUCACACGCACAAUAGAGUACGUACUAGUCAUUAUUAUUAGUAUAACAAUGUUCUAAAAAACAGUCAGCUAAUGCACAGUUCCCGACAUCUUUUCAGAUUCAAACUAGUGGUCAUCUUCUUUAGGUUCAAACUAGUCAUCUUCUAGCCACUUUAGGCAAAACAAUGGAGUAUUCCUUUGUCUCAUUUUCCUUGUUUACUAUAACGACCACCUCCAAGUGCUCACAAAAAGCACCAGGGCUCGUACCUUUGUUCCAUCUGCUCCCCAUCAUGGUGCAAUGAUCUCUCGAAUAUAUUAAGCCCAUGAUUUAAUAAUAUAUGUGCUAGAUAGCUAUUGCAAAGUGCACACAUUUUUCCACACCACCACAAAGAAACAUUGCUAGAUCGAAUCUUGAGAAAUUACAUGAGAAACAACACGAUGUACACACCUUUUUAGUGAUCCUUUUUUUGUUACAAUUAUGUAUGAGUACGGUUGCGAUCACAUUGUGUACUACGGUAAUGAAUAGUAGAGUACCAGUGGCCAGUCAUGCCUCUAUCCAUAUCUCAUACAUGAAUGAACCUUCGUAACACCUAGGACAUAUUGGUAUGUGAAGGCAUUGAUCGGUGUGCCAUAUCACAUGGGAGGAGAGUAGCAUAAGCUAGAAUAGUAUGUAUACGCACAACCUUUUACCUCCAAUUAGUCCCUGAUCUGAUAAAGUUAGCUUGUCAUUUACAGCAUCUUAACAGUGAAAGUAGGUGUUGCAUGCAUGCUUUGUUCCCUCUGCCUUCUUUUUCUCUCAAUGGACUCCCACUACGGAUGAAAAGAUAUGGAGGCAUUUGAUUCUCUCGAUCAGUCCAUGAUAAUCUUUUUCGAUGAUUGAAUUCCUCUACUUUCUUCUUUGCUCCAGCAGCAGGGGGGCCUGGUUCCAUGACAAAUCAAUAGAUGCCACUCCUGGCGACAUCAAAUCCUUCGAGGUACGCAGCCCCCUUUCUUCUUCUUUUUUUUUUGCGAAACCGAGAGUCCAUCAUUAUCUCCAAUACCUCUCUGAAGGGCAUCAUGCCGUGCUAGUUAGUGCAACAGCGAUCAUUCGUUCCAUGCGCCUUUGGACAGUGCUCCUUGUUGAGCUUUGAUCAAUGCAUAUUGUCGGUAGCAAUUUGGACUCAUCAGUUAGUGCAGUUAUCACAUCAUUUCUGGUCUUUAACCUCACACUUUUUUUCUCCCUUUCCACUCGACGUUUUUUCAGGACGUGCAAUCACGAAGCCUUGACGAUGUCUCCAACCUGAACUCGUCGCCGUUCCAAGUAGCCGGGAUGUUUGGCAGGACCAAGAAACCGAACCUGGACUUCACCCUAGGACGGAUAUGAUCCGAUCCGCCAUCGGCAUGUCACCAAGGACCGGAAGAGGAGACCAAAGACGGCUAGCUAUCAGCAUAUACAGACCAAUUUGCUUCUAGGCGGCCAUAUUUAUGAGAUCUGGCUGAUGGUGCACAUACACGGAUGCAUGUGUUCCCCGUAUGGCCGUUGCUAGCAGAGGGAGGGGAAGAACCAUAGCUUGAAGAAAGGAUAAAGAGAGGCUAGGAGUAAAGAAUAAGAGAUAAGACAACCGUCGAUCCAGGAACAAAGCUAGCUAUCGCAAAAGGAGAUGCAUGGGGAGACAUUGCAUGGUGCGUGCGUGUGUGCAGUGUGCUUGCUGUUGUGUGCGUGGUGGUGGUAAGAGAGAUAGCUCGAGAUAGGCUUUAUCAAAGGCAGCAGGCAAGGGCAAGGGGUAGCUUGCUUGCUUGCCUGCCUGCCUGCUGCUCGUCAAAGGGCAUACGCAUAUUCUCAUUGCUUGCUUCUGGAGUCUGGACUGGUGGUGUACACAUGCACUGCAAAGCAUGCAUGAAGAGCUACAGAUGCAUGAGUAGUGGUAGUACUGCCUAGGUGGGAGCCGGUUGGCCGGCGGCUAAGGUUAACAAAAGUUUGCUCCUUCGUAUCUUUUGUUAUACUAUAUGCUCGUGCCACACACAAAAGUGCAAAGAGAGGUAGCGCAUAUAUGUUGUUGUAUGUGCUUGCAUGCGUGCGUGUGUGUGUGUGUGUAAUGGUGUGUAAUGGUGUAUGGACCAUGGAGUAUUCUUGCUCUCUGCUAGCUUUCAAUGGAGGAUAGAAUAGAUUCUUGCUUGCCCUGGGUUGGGUCUACCAUGCGUACAACCUGGUCGGAUCUUUAUUAGUGACGAUCCAUGACGGAAAAAGAAGCUAUGAUCAAUGCUAGUAGCUGAGUACAAGGUUCUCUUUCAAGUUUAUUUGGUGCCAAUUUGAUUUCAUCAGGGGGGAGAAAAACCAAGAACCUCAGCAGUAACUAUACGCAACUUUAUUUGCUACUAGAACAACGGAUGCAUCUGCACAUGUUUUUGCUUAUGAAAAAACUCAAAUCCUUCCCUGAACGUCAGAAAUAGGGACUUCUUCCCUCUACAAAACCGUGCAUACGUAAUGUGUACAUACACCAAGAAACUUAAACCUUCCACAAGAAAUGAUUUAGGGUGUGUUUGGUUGCAUGCAUAGAUGAUCCUGGAUGGCGUGGUUUAACCAAUUUGCUUGUACCAUAUGGUUCACUCUAAUUAGUAGAAUAAUGUAUCAAGUGGGAUAGCCUCUAAUUAGUAGAAUAAUGUAUCAAGUGGGAUGGCCUCAUCUUGGAUGAGUUGGUCCAAUUCACCCAACCAAAUAAAAAGACUAUUAUUAUUUUGAAUCAUUUCAUACAUAAAUCAAAUGAUACAACCAACCAAACACACCCUUACUGUGUAACACGAGUCGAAUACUGGUAGUAAAAAAUUUACAGGUGAAUAAGUGCAUGCACAUGCAUGUACGCGGGAGCAAACUGCAAGAGCAGCAGGCGUGUCAAAUUGGCCAUUUGGGGAACACCCCUAUGCAUGGAAUGGAUGCGCGCAUGCACUUGUCAUCGUCAAUCAAUAAAGAAGAAGAGGGGAGAGGAUGAUCGGAAAAAGGCGAGCGUGGAGGGAAGGAAGAAUUGAAGUCAAAUCUUUUUCAAGGGCCGGAGGCCGGAGGGGAGGACGACGACGAGGGAGGCGGGGACGUCGACGCACGCUGCGUGCGUGGUGGCAUGCAGCUGAUGGACGACGACGCAUGGGAUGGAUGGAUGGAUGGACGCGGCGGGCCUGAUGCAUCGAUCGACCGGCUGAAGUGACCUCUCUUGGAAAGCCUUGAUCCAACCACCUCCGUUUACCCUCUUCACUAGCCACCUACCUCUAGCUGCCUACUUUUGUUUCCUAGCUUCGUUCCCCGGCCCGGGCCUCCAUGCAUGGCUGGCUCCAUGGAUCGAUGCCCGAGCCCAGCAGCUCCCCCCAGUUUUUUACCAUUUCGAAACUACCACUGCAGUACUGCUGUUACCCAGCUGCCUGAUCAACCUGACCCUCUUGCAUGCAUUUGCUGCAUCCUUAUCUUCAUCUCUUCUCCUCGGCCAUCUAAGCUAGCUACAAUUUUCAGUAGGACGAAUUCCCAGUGUAAACAUUUGCUUGCAAAGAAAAGACUCAGAAGCCGACCGAGCAUGCUUACUUGUUGCAUGUCGCCGUGUAUAGUACUACUACUAGAAUUGCAUGAAGUAGGUCAAGGUAGCCAUGGCCGGCAGUCCGUGCUGCAAGCCAAGCAGCACAAGCAAACGCAGCAUGCAACGCAUAGCUCGCUGCAGAGAGACUCUGAUGAGAACGAGAGAGCUUGCGUGGUUGACCGCGCGGCAAGCCGGCGACCGCCAUGCACGCACCGAAACAAACAGGGAGAAGAAUCCAGCGGCGCGUGAUUUCCGCGGGAUCCAUGCUGUGCGCGCCUGCGCCCCCUCCCCCACCCACCCGUGCAUGCAGCCGUGCAUGCGAGCGCGCGCGAUCGAGCAAGGCGCCCAGGGGCCCCGCGGCGCUUGGUAGCGUAGCCCUGGCUGGCUAGCGUAGCCCUACGCAGAAGGUCGCCAUGAACUGGGGUCUGAGGCUCCUGGCUUCUCUUUGGGUCAGGUCAGCUCGCACGUUCGUACGCGGCAUACGUGUCCGUGAGGGACGGGACGGGACGCACGGGACCGAGCCACUUGCUCCUCGAUCGGUUGCCCUGCUUUGUUUCGCCCGCGUUCGAAUUCGCACUGACUUUGAAGCACGCAGGCAGGCAACAAAAGCUACCAGCAGUAGCGUUUCACUUUUGCCUUCGCGGUCGCAGUCAGCCAGUCGCAGACACAGGAUGCACGCCGCACGUGGUCAUCAUCCGUCGACGCUGAUGGAUCUGAGCUCCCGAUCGAUGCAGUCAGUCACGUACUGGAAGUUUCAAAUCUGUUUUUAGUUUGGCAAAAUGAAUUACUCCAACGGGUUUAGCCGUUUAGGUUACGUGCAGUGUGCACAGCAAUUUGGGAUUGUAGCUAGCUACAGUAGUUAUUGGUUCUUUGCUAUUGACAAGGACUGAAGCGCAAGCCGGGGGCGGAAGAGAAGAAUCUGUGGACGGGCGGGCGGCGGGGCGGGGGCAGAGACUGCACGCAGGCCGAGGAAGGAAGGAAGGGCCUUUGAGCAGGAGCCGCAGAGGAAAUGCGCGCAGGGAAGAAGCGGGGGGAAAUGAAUGAUGAGGCACUCCAUUACGCUAUGAUUGGGGGGCGCCCCAAGGAGAAGCAACAAGCGAUCGAGUAGCAGCAGCUGCCGCAGCAGCUACCCACCAGCUAGCCAGCCAGCCUAAACAAUUGCUGCUAGGCCUGCCCCGCUAGGGGCAGCAGCAGGUGCGGCAGGUGCAAACAGUGGCCAUGGCCGGCCGUGGGCCGCGCAUGGCAUGGCUGGCGAGAGAGAGGGAGAGGGAGGUCGCGAGAGGUCUCAUCACGUCAAGCGAACGCGACGCGGGCAGAGGAGUGCCGGGCUGUGGGAUGGGAGCUGGCGAGCUGCUGUGCUGGGCGCUGUGGCCUGGCCUCGGUCGCUGCGAUCGAAAGGCAGCGGCAGCGUUGGCGGCCAAUGGGGUUACUACCCAUCCGUCCGUCCCCGAGCCCUGACGGCGACCAGACGCCCGCCCGCCCGCCCGGCAUUCAAGGCCCCAACCGCUGUCCUCCUUUUCUGCUCUCUCUGCUGCGGCCUCCGGCCACACACCAUCUCUCUCCCUCUGCAUCUCCAACCACGGCCAUGCUACUUUUCGGCUUUUUCCAAGGUUAAAAUAUAUGUGGCGGUAAAUAAAAUAAAAUGCAACAUGUGGUCUUUGAGCUAUAGUAAAAAAAAUGCAGUUUUUAUCGUCAGCAUAGUAAUGUAGGAGUACGCGUUGAGACCAGAAUCAGAUGAUUGAUUACCUACUGCUUCAGACGCGUGACGUGAGACUGAGCGACUGACUAACCAUCAAUCCUCUUUGUUUGGAAACUGAUCGCCGCCCAUUUCCGGCACUGUACGGACGACGACGCCCCGAGCUCACAUGCACGCACGAGAGGAGCGAGGCAGCGAACAUGCCAUGGACGUGACGUGACCUCCGCGUCGUGCUCGCCUCCCUUCUCUGCUUUUCUUUUCUGCGCCACCGUGACAUGACGGCAUGACGCGUUGCUCCGAAAAAAAUUGCCGCUUCCUUCUUCGUCGGGACUCACAAGGCCACAGCAAUCACCACAGGCCUCUAGUAUCAAUGGGCCGUCCGGCCUACCUGUCUGUGGCACAGUCCGCCCGCCGCCCCGCCAGCAACGUGGUAGACAGCACACAGCCCACGGCCCGAGUUCACACUCUGUGGCCCAUGGUCUUUGUUGGACCAACUAACUCAUGGGAGUCGGCUCUCAAAAAAAAAAAACUCAUGGGAGUCGUCGUGGGCCCAAUUGGGCUAACCUGCAGAGUGCGGCGGUUUUCACUUGUCUGGCUUCGCGUGUGCGCCUUUCCCUUCCAUUCUCGUCGAAGUGGGUACAGUCCAAGCAAGGGCGAAGAGAGGUCGGCGCGAUUCGGAGAUGGGCAAGGGCGGCGAGCUGUGGGACGACUCCGCGCUGGUGGACGCCUUCGACCGCGCCGUCGCCACCUACAAGGUACGCUUGCUCGGCCCCGGUCCCGACGGCUUCCCGGAUCGCUGCCUCUCGCCGCAACUAGUGCUGCUAGGGUUUAGGGUUUUGAGGGCUUUGCGGGACGGCUUGGAAUGGGCAGGGUACGCUGUAGAUAGGUGGUUGGGUAGGUGGGGUGGGCACUGGAGAUUUGGAUUGGGGGUUGGAGAGCUGAGUCGAUUUUGCUCUAUUGGUUUCGCGAUUACGAAUUCAUCUAGGGAAUGUCAUGUACAUGUAUCUCCCCCCUUUUCUGCAAUUAGUUGGAAUGUUUGUCUGCAUCGGGAUAACGUUGACGAUUGGCAGGAAAUGCAUGGCAAGAGUAACCGAGCAACGCCAUGUGAGGAUGAAAAGCCAGAACAUGCUGCUGCUGCUGCUGCUGCCACUGCACAAGUAGAGGAAGCCGUCACUGCUGAAACAGCGGAUGAGUAAGUAGACUGAUGCUUCUAGCUUCACUCGGUGUUGACAAUUCGUUGUGUGGUGGACUGGUUGUUAGUUUGUGUCUAUGCUAUCUGAAACAAAUGCAGUGUUGCGUUGUAUUAGUACUUACUGAUGGUAAUGCUUAGAAUUGCAUGAUUGUUGCGGUCAGUACAAAGAGAGUAGCCAGAUGGAAAAAAAAACACAUGUUUGCUGUUACCAUCUUUGUUCCUGGAUGUUCUAUUUGGAGCUCACUUUUUGAGUAAUGGAGAGAAUUUAGGGUAUGUUUGGUACAACUCCAUCUGAUUAUGAUUUUCCAUGGGAGCUGAUUCUCUGAUAGAAGUGAUUUUGUGGCUGAGGGUGAUUCUCUUUGAUUCUCUAGCAUAAACUCUUAAAAUCAGGAUGUAAAAUCACUUCACAGAAUCAGGAGAAGCUACUUUUUUCAGCUCCUAGCCUCUUAGUUCAUUUCAGAGAAUCACUUCACAGAAUUAGCAGAAAAUCACUUCUCUCUGAAAAAUUGUUUGGUAGAGCUCCUGCUGGAUUCAGCAGGGAAUUAGCUCUGGGAGCUCUGCCAAACGCACCCUUAGCUUGGGAGUGACAAUGUUAUGCAAUCAUCAAUUAGGCAUGUAUUUUCUUCAGAACCUGACCAUCACAAAUUGUUCUUUAAGGCCAUCUACUUUUGUCUACUGAAUGUCUACCCGAUACUCACAACGAUUCAAAGAAUAUUGGAGAGCAUGCCCAUUUGUCAUUUGUGUAGGAGAAACCUUAGAAGUAGUCAGAUUCCACCAUGAUCUUGUAUUUGCUAAAUCCAACCCCUUUUUGGGGAAAACUAGUCACCAGAUGUUGCCAGACAGUUUGUAGUAAAUCAUUUUACCUGAUUAGUACCAAUACUGCUAAGUGUCAGAUUACUGGUGGUGCUGAGUUAUUUCAUUGAGAAAAUUGCGAAACUCACCUGCAAGCUAUGGGGGUUCAAAUACCCUCCUGCAUCUCAAUUCCUACUACAAGUUUUAUAUGUUUUCAAAUACCCCCAUGUGCCCAUUGACCAACUGACGUGAUUGUUGCAUAGCCUCACAGAUGAUUGUCUAUUCCCUAAUGAGCUUGCCAAAUAGUUUUCUCAGAGUUUGACACGCUCGCCAUCGAUAUCAAACCUAUUUCCCCCAAGUUUGGGUGCCAUCGCUUCCCUACAUGAUUGUCCUACUUGAGCGAGUUUAGGAAAACUUAUUCAUGCAUGAAGCAUCUCUAGCACCUCAUGGUACGUGAGACAACUCAGAUUGACGCUAGAGGCCAAACUAUAGGUACAUUGGCUGGUCAACGGGCACAUGGGGGAUUCAGAAAACACAAACAUGCGGUAUGAGAUUGUAAGGAAUUGAGAUGCGGAUGGGUAUUUAAACACCCCAACCCCUCCCUCCAAUUCACUUGCUGUUGUUUUUCCCUAUUUUAUUUCCAGUUUUGAUACACAUGGAAUGCACAGCAGACUAAAGAUGUUACCUUUUCUCUUCAACCUGAUCUAUCUUUCACAUUUGCUGCAUGCGCGUUUGUCAUUUAUGUACCCAAUUUUAAAUUCUUAUGGUAUUCUCUUGGUAUCCAUUCUUGUGAGAAGUGAUCAAGUUUAGUUUCUUUUGUGCAUUUUAAAGGCACAGAGAGAAAGAUGCCAACCGUGAUAACACAGCCUGUGGUAUGGCGGAGACACCACAGCUGCCCUCUGAAGAAAAACAAGCAGUUGAGCAAGCUCCUCUUCAAGAAACUGAUCCAGGCAAAGAGACACAUGUUCCAGAGUCUAAGGCAAUCUCAGAUGCUACAGAUGCUGAUGGAAAUGUCAGCUCAAGCCAGCAAACAUGGGAGUACAACGAAUUGCUCAGACAGUACUAUGAGCUUGAGGAGAAGAGUCGGAAUGUUCUUCAGCAACUCCAACAAGCGAACUACUGGAAUUAUCAAGCAUCAGGAUAUUCUUCUACAACCCAACAGCAGCAAAUUCCUGCCUAUAGUGCCACAGCUCCAGAUCCUCACUCUUCAACCACUCAAUCCUCAUGCUGCUACUGGAAUGUGCCCCUGGUAUCUGUCUCCUGCUGUUCAGCUGGCCAACCAAGUGAAGGUUCUGCUAGUAUGCCACCUAGUGGUGGCUGCAGCGUAUCAUUGACUUGUAGGUGCCUAGUUUGGUUCUGCGCUUUGUUCGUCUUUUCAUAUAGAUCCUGCCUAUUCCUUUGCCUGUAUAUAGAUUACAUGAUGUGCUUUUUUUCCAGGUGACCAGUGCCCUGGUGCAAGCACCACAUACCCUAGCAUUUCAAACUCCAUGCAGCUCCCAACAAAGUUAUCUCCCAAUGAUGAUCAAGUUGCCAAGGCUGCAAUGAUGACCGCUGAAGGUGCCUUGAAUUUUAUGAGAAGUACAGUGGCUGGACAGCCUGGCUCCCAAGGUAAGUAACUUCUUGUUUGAGUUGCUGAAGAACAUUCUGACUGUGCUUCUUCUGCAGAUGUCUCAAAAUAUGUUUGAAUCAGGAUGCCCCAAAAACUCACAUUCUCCUGCAAUACUAUGUUGUCUCACAAGUCACCUUUUCUCUUCAAUGUAGGAAACGAGUCAGAAACUAGAAAGGAGGAAAACACAAGUAUGGGCAUGAACCCGAACCUUGACAUAACUGGAGCAGAUAGUGAUCUUGCCGCUCUCUUAAAUGCAUGGUAUGCGGCUGGGUUCUACACUGGCAGGUAAUCCCUAUCCCUUGAACUUUGGGUUUUGACCGUGCUUGGAUUGCAUGAUGCCUUCUGUAUCUCUGCAUUAGUUUGUAUCCCUUUGGCAAACAAUCAUACAUGCUUCUUAAUGCUUGUAGCUAUCCGCACAUUUUGGAUUGUUAUUUGCAUUCACAUAUCUCCAUUAAUGCUAAGACAUAGCUCCUGCCUCCUGCCCAUGUUUCAAAAAAGAGAACACUUAUUUGCACUAAUAAUUAAGGAAAUAUGAAGAGAUUGCUUUUAUAAGAGAUUGCUUUUAUUGAUUGACAUAAAUUAUUUAGGGAUAUAAGAUCUUCAGAAACCAUGAAGUUUUUAACUCAAAGCGCAAUUUUAUAUUCUAUCACACCUGUAAAUCCAUCAAUUCAAUUUAUUAUCUGAAUUCUGACACUUUGAUUCUUGAUGCCAUUUCUGGCACCGCUUGUUGCCAUUGUACAAUAUAUUCUAUCAUGGAUCUGAAAUGCCUGAAUUCUGUUUAUAGGUACCUCGCGCUCCAAUCUACGAAAAAUUCAAAACAAUAGUUUAUGAGGAGGGCCAUGGUGUGGUAGAUUUCUAAAAAAAAAAUGUCAGUUAUUGUUUCACCCAUGUUGCCAGUGCGGCAAUGCCCCCUACGGAUGAAUGUAUCUACUCAAUUUGUUAUGUAACUGGACAUUCCGAUGGAGCCGUGCUGUUUUGCGCUUACUAGUGCUUUUUCAUGCUAGAAUCACGGUAUGCUCAUGUAUGAACCUGUUGUUAUUUGACAGAAAAGGCGGUGAAACGAGUAAACUGUUGCCUCAGUUUUCUAGCCCUCAUGUAUAAGAACUGGUAGCAUUGUGAAAUUGCUUUUGCAGUUACUGCUGGUGGUGAUGUCUAAGAACGCCCUGACAUCUGUAACCAGUUGUGCCCGGGAUGCCAUUUGUGCUACUUCGAAGUCGAAUAGCUUCACAUAUCCCUGUUCUGCUUAGCAGCUUCCAUCCCAUCCCCAGUUGUCGAUUGCAGGAUUAAGCCGCGCGACCAGAAAGUGUUUGGUUCUUGUGGUUUGUCAGUUGCGCCACGUGUGAAUCCUUUUAACCCGGAGCUGUUGUGAUAUUGCCCGCCGACCGGCCACGCCUGCCCCGCGCGUCGUGAUGUUUGGCGGUGGUGGUCGGUACACGGCACCUUUCAAAAGUCGUGGCAUGUGUGACUCGUCGUCGGCCCUGUAGGGAAUAAGGAAUUUUCUGCAUCAUCUGUGUACGUACUCGUUGGGGCGUUGACCCAGCUUGUGCGUCUUCUCCAAACUGCCAAGUCGGAGCAUGUGGUGAAUGCUGUACAGCCCUAAAAAAAAGAGUAGAAUUUGGCAAAGCAAUCUCUUCUUGAUCUCUGCCAUUUGAGGAAGAAGGUGUUGCAAUAUUCUCAUUCAUCCAUUAUGGUUAAAAAUACGCAAAUAUCACUAAAAAGUUCAAUUCUAAAAAAAAGUAUACACAAAUAUCAUCAUACUAGAUUGAAAAGGACGUGGUAACGGGGUUUAUGGUUGGUCUAGAAGCAAUAACCGGGGUGGCAACAAAAGAGGCCGCAACUACAAGGCACCGCAGGAGAACUCGCCGCGAAGCAACGACGCGGAAAGACAAAUCCAGCCAAGAGGAGCCGCUCGCCGCUGUUGGAUUAUUCCGUUCCUCAAUUCCGUCGCGGAGGUACGCUGCCCUGCGCCCCCAACCCCCCUGCUCCUAAUCCGCUUCUCCUGCCCCCCCCCCCCCCCCCCCCCCCCCCCCCGAAAUUCCGCAUCCAGUACCCCGGAUCUUUCCCCGCCGCUUCCCUCGAAUUUUCCUCUCGCAACCCGGUUCAUCUCCUCUCUCUUCCGCCGCUGCUGCGCCCCAGGCCGGAGUCUUCUCUCGUCGGGGGGCGUCAGUGUCCUUCGCCUCUACUGGUGCUGGACUGCCGUCGGGUGGAGAUCGGCUUGGAUCAGCUCUUUUCUAGUUUGUUGUUGUUGGUGAGUAAACCCUAGCCUCCUUGGACGGAAUCUUCUAGGAGUUCGUUUUGCUUUGCGGAUUUGGUAAUCGAAACCACGUACAUGGUCCAACUAGGUUUUUCUUCCAUAGCGCGCAAUAUUAGUCCACCCAAGGUGCAAUUUAGUGUCCAGAACUUGGGGGAGUUUCAACGCCCGCGUGAAAUUGGCCCUGGCCCUGAGAUUUAGACUAGUCAUCACGUCCAUGUGUUAUCUUACUGUGAGAUGAGAUGCCAUGUUUUGGGACUAAUUUUGGGGUUUCUGCAGCGAAAAUGAGUGACAACCUGAUGGACAAGGUUAGCGCCUUUGGCGAGCGCCUCAAGAUCACCGGGACGGAGGUCAGCAAGAAGAUGACGGCCGGCAUGAGCUCCAUGAGCUUCAAGAUGAAGGAGCUGUUCCAGGGGCAGACUCCGGCCGACAAGAUUGUCGAGGACGCCACUUCGGAGAACCUGGACGGGCCUGACUGGAACUCAAACUUGGAGAUUUGCGACCUAGUCAACACGGAGAAGGUUAACAGCGUGGAGCUCAUCCGUGGCAUCAAGAAGCGGAUCAUGCUGAAGGAUGCCAGGAUCCAGUACCUCUCCUUGAUCCUGCUUGAGACUAUUGUGAAGAACUGCGAGAAGGCCUUCUCGGAGGUUGCGGCUGAGCGGGUUCUUGAUGAGAUGGUUAGGUUGAUUGAUGACCCUCAGACAGUUGUGAAUAACAGGAACAAGGCCCUUAUGCUGAUUGAAGCGUGGGGGGAGUCUGGUGAUGAGCUACGCUACCUGCCGGUCUAUGAGGAGACCUACAAGGUUUGCAACACAAGCCUUCAUUUUGGUUACCCUUGUUUCAACCGAACCAACUGCACAACUUGUGUUAUGUUUCAAUCAACUCAAACUAUUAUCACACAGCAGUGGUUCAUUUCUGCUACUUCAUGCCAAAAAGAAAGUAAAAAUAGUCUGUGCUCCAUGGUGCAAGUGCAAGUAUAGAGAACAAUCCUAUUCAGGAGCAACACGCUGAAGUGAGGUUGCUAUAGAGCAUUACAUUGCUUCAUUCACUGAGCAUAUGCUUCACGUGGAUUUCAUACUUUUAGUACUUUGGAUUUAUGGACAUCUUUUUAUGGUUAUAGUUUUGUACGUCCAGCCAAGGUCACCAAGUACUUGAAUUACUAGACCUUAGGCAGCAUCAGUAUCAUUCCUAUCUAGGUAUAUUAUUUACAGGUUGUUUUCAUGUCAGAUUUGAUGUUGUUACUUCCUCUACAAUCUCUUACCUGAUUAUUUUAGACAUGGGUACAAUAUCUAAUUAUGUCAUUGGAUACUCCUGGUUGUAUUUUAGAAAGAAAAACUAUGAUUUGACAUGGAAGGCCUUGUGAUGUCAUCCUUCCGAAUAUAUUUGCAGUCAAGUUUUAAAGGUUUGGUUGCACUUGCACGCAUUCUGGGACACAAUAUUUGGGAGGGGGAGUACUGCAAAAUAGCAAUAUGAUUUAUCCUUGUUCAGUUUGUUUUGUACUUCAAUAACCAAAGUAGUCCUUACCAAUUUCUAUAAUAUAACAUGAUCAUUUCCUUCUUGUGUAGAGCUUGAAAUCAAGAGUGCGGUUUCCUGGACGUGACAAUGAGAGCUUGGCCCCCAUAUUUACUCCCCCACGAUCAGUUGCUGAAGCUGACAUUGAUGCAAACUUGCAGCAGCAGGCAUUUGAAGAUGUGCAUGUUCAUACAUAUACUGCCGAAGAAACAAAAGAAGCAUUUGAUGUUGCUCGUAACAGCAUAGAACUUCUUUCAACUGUUCUUUCCUCUUCCCCUGAGCAGGAUGCUUUGCAGGUAAUUACAUUCUCUGUACUUGUGUCCCAAUUUCAUUUAUUUUUUUAUUACAUUUGCCUAGGUUCUCUACCACCAUGACAUUAGUAGCUAUUUCCACACAUGAGAUCUUUUCCUCAUGGACCAGCAGUAAAAAUGGUCUUGAAAUUUGGAUAUUGCUUGUGUCGUGUUGUUGAUUGAAAAUACUUGGUUGAUGUGUUUCUCAUGCUGUACCUGAACUAUGGUGAGUUGGUGACAAAGUGAUAGGGUACUUUAUUUACAAGUAAAAUAUUUUUAUGUUCAUGUUAAUUGCUAAUUUAAUAUAAUGCUUACUUUAUACAGUCCCUUUAGAAAUCAGAAUGAUUAAAAAAUUACUCCAUGUUGCUUUUGUUGAGCAGUGUGCUAACUGCUUUCCUUGUUACAAUCACAUUCACUGCAUUAGCAACUCCAUCCCAUGUAGGAUUAGGGAGAACAUUUCAAAAUAUUUACUCCUUUUCUGUUGUACAUCAACGAACUAGUUGAUUUUGUACUGUGCUUUAACAUGCUUUACUAAAGGCAAACUGCUUUUCUCGUGAGCCGGAAUGGAAGACUAAUGAAGACUUUACUAAGCACCAUUAUUUGUUAAGCAAGUGCAAACUCUGUAAAGAGAGUUUUGACUGAUUUUGUUACUGUCACAGGAUGACUUAACAUCCACUCUUGUGCAACAAUGCCACCAAUCUCAGCACACUAUCCAGAGAAUCAUCGAGACGGUUGGUGACAAUGAAGCUGUGCUCUUUGAGGCCUUGAGUGUGAACGAUGAGAUCCAGAAAGUGCUGUCCAAAUACGAAGAGAUGAAGCAACCCAGGGCCUCGGAGAAUGCAGAACAACGUCCAGUGGUUAUACCGAUUGCCACGGAACACGAAGAUUCCGCUGCUGUUGGCAAUGAAGAUGCCCUGGUCAGAAAACCAGCUGCUGCAAGGGCAAGGUCAGGUGGGGAUGAUGAUAUCCUGGAUGAUCUCGACGAGAUGAUAUUUGGCAAGAAGGGAGGUAGCAGUUCCCAGGAAGCGCCGAAAAAGCCAGAUCCGAAGAAAGAUGAUCUCAUCAGCUUUUAAGCACCUUUCCAAUAUCGCAGCCAGUACUUGCUAUUUUAUGGUGCUGCACUCAGUCGGUAGAAGAUUGCAGAUUCUGUAGGAUUUGGAUCGCUUGUUUAUUUGCAUACGAUCAUACCUGCCCCUUUUACAGUUUGUUCAGUUGUUAAGUUGCUGCACUCUCUGAAUCCUCUGGUUUCAUGGGUGAGCCCAUGAAUGUAUUGGAUGGUGAAUUAUGCUCUGAUGGAAAAAAAAAAUAUGUUGACUGAAUCUUUGCUCCUCCCUUGGGUAAGCACAUCACGGCUCCAAGCUCAUGUCUUCUGCUCUGGCUAAUCGAGCAAAUGUUCGUAUAUGCCAUUCAUCUCUCUAUGCCAGCGUUGUGGACUGCGAGGAAAAGAAUUGGCAUAUGAUGAGGUCAAAAUCGGCCAAUCUUAUUGACGUCACAUAGAAGGAGCAUGCGCGUACAAAGCGAAUGGAUACAUCUUAAAAUCUCGGUACGUCAUGUUUGUUUCACGGUCACACACAUAAACUAUCUGAAUGGUACCACGAUGCCACUACCAAAUGAAUUGCACGUAGCAAGCCAAGGCUCUGAGCCUAACUGCUCAGGCUGUCUCAGCUGCGGCGAGCUUGGCCCGCAGCUCUCUCCUCAGUAUUUUCCCCGACGCCGACUUGGGGAUGGAGUGGGUGAAGUAUACCUUGUGCAGCCUCUUGUAGAACACCACCUGAAAAAUCGGCACUCGCGUGCGCAAAAUGUGAUCAGGAACAGCUACGGUGGCGUCCAUCAAGCAUUUUGGAAGAUGGCGACGCGAUCAUGGCACACCUGCUUGGAUACGAACUCCUUGAUGGCAUCCUCGGCGAUGUCGGAGUCGGCGGCGCGGACCACGAAGGCGACCGGGACCUCACCGGCGGCGUCAUUCUUUUGCCUGCCAUUCGCAUAAUCCAGUCAAUUCUUCCCUCUGUGUGAUUUGAUGGUUUCGAAGCAAAACCGAAAUGGUGAUCUUACGGGACGACGGCCGCGUCGGCGAUGGAAGGGUGGGCGAGGAGCAGCGCCUCGAGCUCGGCCGGUGGCACCUGCACGGGUGUCACAGCUGCACUUCUCAGCAUCGAAAUUGAAACGGACAUACGGCAAAAAUGCCGAAACAGUUUUACACUGUUACUGGUAGUCUGGUACAUGCUUGUCAGGUGCUGGUUUUUCGGGCGUGCUCCGUACCUGGAAUCCCUUGAACUUGAUGAGCUCCUUGACGCGGUCGACGAUGAAGACCUCGUCGUCGUCGUCGACAAACCCGAUGUCGCCGGUGUGGAGCCAGCCGUCGACGUCGACGGUCCUCGCGGUGGCCUCCGGGUCGUUCAGGUACCCUGCGCCGCAACCGGGCCACGCGCACCCAUCAGUCAGUCAGUCACCCGUGCACCGCGCGAUGCACGUGGAGCAACGAGCAAACGCACUUGCAGCUGGCACUUGGUACCGGUACGUUAAACAAUGUCACAUGGAUAUUCGGAUGCUAAUUAGGAGAACUAAAAGCUAAUUAUAAAAUUAAUUGCAGAACCUCUAUGCUAAUUUGUGAGACGAAUGUGGUGCUACAGUAAUCAUUUACUAAUGAUAGAUUAAUUAGGUUUAAUAGAUUCGUCUCGCAAAUUAGACUCCAUCUAUGCAAUUAGUUUAAUACUCCUAAUUAGUAUCCAAACAUUCGAUGUGACAGGUGCUAAACUUUAGCAGGUAUUCAAACAGAGCCUAAUAUUACCUUUCAUGAUCUGCGGGCCUCGGAUGCAGAUCUCGCCGGGGAGGUUGCGGCCGAGCGAGAGGCCCGUGUCCGGGUCCACCACCUUGAGCUCCGCGUUGCGCACCACCGUGCCGCACGACCCCGGCUUGGCCGGCGACGGCUCCCUGGCGAACGCCGGGCACAUGGACAGCACCGGACCGGCCUCCGUCAUCCCGUACCCCUGCGCAACCACGCUAGGGGUCAGGAUCGAUCACGUCCAUUUCGUCCAAAAUCACGGCGAAACCGGGCGGUUUCGCAGGGCUCUUUCCUUUGUUCGCGCGCGGGCGAUCGCGGCGGCAUGGCGUCGCGUGUGGAGAGUGGCGACUGGCGACGCGUCGGACCGUGCGCCGAGCUGCGGGUGUUGUUGACAGUGUGGUAGGUGGAACGAGAGGCUCAGGUGUAUUCCAUCGGGUUCGGUUGGUUUUCCCUGGGCCCCGGGCUACAUGUUGCGAUCAGCCAGCAACCAGCAUUGCAAUCAUCAACGCCAGGUCGCCAGCGACGCGUACGUUCCUCCCCCAGGCAUUGGCACUUUGAGGUAGAUGUGAAAAAUUUUCACGGCGUGCACGUACGGCCCCAUCCAGCAAGUACCCAACACUCGCUGCCCUCAAAAAAAGUACCGAGCACUCGUGUUCCACGCUACCAUUUAAUUAGGAAUGGCAAUGUCUAUUUGGAGAGUGUUUUGGGUCCGAUCCUUAGCUACCUCAGCUCGCAAAGAAAGUUUCUGAAUGAUGGUAUAUCCUAGCUACGACAACAUCAGGAGAGGUAAGUUAAAAUCAUUAGGUAUGUGCCCGAAUUCUAUGUUAAUUGAGAUUUUCAGUGUUGUUUCUCUUUUUUUUUAAAAGAAAGAUGGCUGUCGAAUAAAUUUAAAUGGUGCGCUGCUAAUUGAGAUGCCACGGCAUUAUCUAUAUUCCUAGUUCAAAUUAUCGGGCAUGUCCCAUAAUGAUGCAAAGAGACAAAAAUUAUUGGGUAUGUCCCAUAUAAUGAUGUAAAGAAACAAAGAUAAGGUCGUAUUUGGAUCCAUUUGGAUCCAUUAGUGCUAAUAGUCACUCCGUAUGUUACUAAGAGCAACUCUAGCAAUAUCCUCCUUGAAAGUAUAUGUGAAGAUCUGUACUUCAUUUAUUUUAAAUUGUAGAUCGUUUUGACUAUUUCUCUAUGCAUCUAGAUAUAUAUGUUAUAUCCAGAUAUAUAGAAAAAUUUAUGCAUCUAAUAAAAAAGAUAAAAUGAUUUAUAAUUUGGAAAUUAGUGAAUACUAAUUUUAGCUCUAGUACGAACGAUCCAUUUAACGACGUUGUUCGUGUCCUUAAAAAUCACUGCAGCAGGAACCUCACCAUAAAAAGAAAGUGGUCAAGUGGACACUGACCUGCCCGAAGAUGGCCUGCGGCACGCGCGCGCGGAGCGCGUCGACGAGCUCCUUUCCCAGCGGCGCGGCGCCGGAGAGCACGAUCCUGAUGGAGCUCAGGUCGUACUUCUCCAGCGCGGGGUUCUUUGCCAGCGCGAGCACCAGCGGCGGCACGACGGCGGCCACCGUCACGCGCCACCGCUGGAUGCCCUCCAGCAUCGCGCCCAUCUCGAACCUGGGCAUCAGCAUCACCGCCGCCCCAGCCCGCAGCGCGCACAGCAGCACCGAGUUGAGCGAGAAGAUGUGGAAGAGCGGCAGCACGCAGAGCGCGACGUCGCCCUCCCGCAUGUACAGGUUCGGGUUCUCGCCGUCCACCUGCUGCGCCACGCCGGACACCUGCCCGCCGUGCGUCAGCACCACGCCCUUGGGGAGCCCCGUCGUGCCCGACGAGAAGGGCAGCGCCACGGGGUCGUCCGGGGAUAUGGACACCUCCGGGAGGGUAGCCUCGUCGGCGGACGCCACCAGCUCCCAGAACGCCAGGCAGCCCUCCGGUGUGUUCGCCGCGUCGUCGAUGGUGACGACGGUGAGGGCAUUGCCAUCGCCGCCGUCGUCGCUUGCCGCGCCGAUCCUCGGGAAGGCCUCGUGGCGGAGCUUGUCGACGUAGGCGGAUUGGGUGACGAUGAGCCUCGCGCCGGAGGCCCUGAACUGCUUGUGGAUCUCCUGCGGCGUGCAGAACGGGUUGCCGGCGGUGGUGACCGCGCCGAGGAAGGACGCGCCGAAGAAGGUGAGCACGAACUCGACGGAGUUCUGGAGCAGGAUCAUGACGCGGUCGCCCUGGCGGACGCCGAGGACGCGCAGCGACGCGGCGGCCCUGCGGCACAGGAGGCGCGUCUGGGCGUAGGUGUACGUCCUCCCCGUGGCCGCCGCGAUGAGGCACGGCGCGUCCGGGAGCUCCGCCGCCCGGGCGAAGCAGUAGUCGUGCAGGGGCAGGUGGCUGGGGAUCUCGAUGUCCGGAAGCUUCGACCGGAACACGGUCACCUCCGGCGCCACAGCCGCCGCGGCCACAGCCGCCGGCGCCGCCUGCGGUUGCGGCUGCGCCUCCGGUGCUGCCACCGUGAUCAUCUCCUCUGCUUUUCACGAAACAGAGACCUUCUUUCUUGGAAUGGCUGCCGACGACGGGCAGGAGGCUGCACUGAACUGCACGAGAAAACCCUUUCUUGCGAGUUCGUAUCCGUGCUCGGGAUUAGCUACACGGCGGUGUUGCUUGAGACUGAGAAGGAGAGGGGGAGGUGGAAAUAAAUACAGCAAUAGACUAGCAGCCAGCAGGGGAGGUAGGCGGGAGCGCGCGCGCGCAGGCGCAAUGGAGGUGGUAGGUAUGACAUGAGGCAACUGGCAAGGAGAUGCGUGGAAGGGGUGCGUACACGCCCCGCAUCGGCCGUCCCUGCCUACGAAAAAUGCGCGCAUUUUUUCAGUCCGAAAUGCGAAGUCUUGCUAAUUUCAUGCCAAGCUGGAGUCAUCUUACACUGGAGUCAUCUUACAAUGUCCAUGUUCUAUCUCUCAUUUUUGUUCUUCUCGGACCUGUGUCAACUGUCGAGAGCCGUUAGUCACUUUUCGCAGGGUUCGGCGCCGGUCUGUCCACGUAUGACUUGCCACCGUCGUCCAUCGUCCAUGGCAUGCCCGCCGGCGCCCAUACGUCUUGGUCUUGGCUGUGGUUCGCUCGCACUCGCACGCGCAGUCGCACGCUCGCACCUACCCUCUUCGUGCCCCGCAGCAAAAAAAAAAAAGCUUAUCUGCAGCUGAAAGCUCAUAUCACAGCUCAGCUCGUGUUCCGCAAGCCCUGCGCACUGCUGCUUCCCUGUGCGCUACAGGUCGAUCUCGUGCUCCACCUGAGACAUCAACCAUGGAGGAGCAGCAUGCAGUUCAGCAGGGCGUGGGCGCGUGGCGUUGCAUGCGGAUUCGAUCAGCAAAGGAGUCGCUGCGUGUCACUAUGCCGGAAACGAUUCGAUCAGCAAACGAGUCGUUACGUGUCACUACGCCGGAAAUGAUUUGUGCUGGUACCUUAAUUUUGAGUGCUGGCGAGCAUGGAUGCCACCUGUGCCACCUACCAGCACAAAAGGUGAAGUGGCCAAUCCGUUAAAACCCAUCACCACAGAUGCAUGACAUAACACAAUGCAUUUCAAUUUAUAUUGAUGAGGAGGGUCAAAAGUUUCUAACUAGCUAAAAACUUAAUUGUACACGUCAUAAUAUAUUUUUAACAUGUAUUAGACUAUAUAUAUGCAUUGUGUAGGAGUUUCAAAUUUUUUAGAAGUGAUUUGCAAUUUUCUAAGAUUUAAACGUUAUAACCAUGUUUAUGGAAAUUAAUUGCGAUUUGAACUAAAUAUUUCACAAAUAAGAUUCAAAAUUGCAUUAAAAAUGAAAAUAAGGAAAUAUGUUUCAUUUUAGCUCAAAUCAUGAAAGUACGUGUGAAAUUUCACAAGUGUUAAUGUAUUUAUCACUUCUAUUACAACUUUUGGUGGAAAAAAAUUCUAAUAAUAUGAAAAUAUGGUCGGAAAAUUAUAUAAAUUGGUAUGGAGUCAUUUUGUGAGUCUACAACCUUGAUAUAAAAAUUUCAAUAUGGUUUACCAAAAUUAGACUCUACAUUAUUCACAAAUGUAUACUUCACUAACAAUAUUUUAUAUAACUCAAGUCACACUUUAAGCUUGUCAACUAACUUAGCAAAAAUAAAUAUCAUAUAUAUCCUAAUAUAAUUUUUACAUGUAUAAUACUAUAUAUAUGUAUAUAUAUUCUGCUGUAAAAGAUUCAUUAACUUUUAAACUAAUUUAAUUAUCUAAAAAAUUAAAAGAAAGAAAAAUGUAUAUAGAUUUGUGCUGGUGGGCGAUAAUGUCACCCGUCAGCACAGACACAUCACCCGACGGCACAAAAGAUCAAAAACUUUUGUGGACUCUGAGUACAGAGCCAAAAAAAAUUGGCGCGUUCGAGCAUAGCCACCUCUCCCUAAUAUUCUAUAUCUCUCUCAUCAUUUUGCUCAUCUUUAUCUCUUUCACCUGCUCUUAAGUCCUCACAUCUCUCUCUCUCUCUCUCAUCUCUAGGACCUGCAACAAUGAGGGCGGCGGACGGCGGAAGCCAUGACCGAGCGGCCGGCCUGUGGGAGCUAGGGCCACGAUGACCGGCGCGGCCGGGUGGCGGGCUCGCGAGUGCUAGGUUAGAUCUAGCAUGGGGCAGAUGUAGGCUGUGCGACCUGCCAACGGAGGAGCAGCGACGACGCGGGUGUUGAUGCUAGCGGAGCACGCUGGCGAGGGCGGGUCCUUCACGGGGCUAAUGCAGGUGGCGGGGUAGCUGGUGGCUGCCGGCGCUGUCGAGGGAGGGCUUGCGGGGCAGCCAUUGCCGGCGGUGCGUUCGGCUGGUAGGUGCAGGACCCGACGGGGCAGCCGUGGAUGGGGCUUACGUGAGCGGCCAGCGGUGGCAGGGCCCUACGGGGCAGCUGGUGGCAGCCGGCGCCUCUGGGGUCAGGGCCUGGUGGGGCGGCCAUCACCAGAGGCACGUUCGGCCGACGAGGCAGCCGUGGACAACGCGUUCAGCCCCCGGGGUGGCAUAUAGGCGGACGGUGGAUGGAGUGGUCGACAUGGGCGGCGGCGCGAAGUGACGCAAGCAACAACGCUGGGCGGCAACGCGGCCUCGACGGCCAAAUUUUUUAUUUUCUAAAAAUAUCUUUGUUGGCAGGCUUCCUAAGCACACGCUAGCCCAAAUCGUGAUUGCACUAGCGGGUAGACAUUCGCUUGCAAAGAUGACUAUUUAUGCUGGCAGGUGCCAGAACAGCUAGCAAAGAUGGGUUUUGACCACCACCACAAACGUUUUGUGGCGUAGUGUGUCAAUCUGCCAUGCGUGGCGGCUCGUGACCAAGAAAGCCCAUGUAAAUUGGCGACGGCGAGCACCAUGCUGCAAACAGCGACGAGCAACUAGGGGCGCGCGGAGCCGCGUCACUACGCUAGGUAGAGCAGGCUGGGGAGCUUCGGAGCUGGAGAGAUGCCGGUGGCCACGACCUCAUGGGCACCAUCGAUGUGGCAGUUCACUGUGGCCACAUGCAUCAUUUCGGGUGCAAGGCUCCUCGCGUUUUAUGGCUGUGUGGGCGUCUCAAAGCGCAUGGUGUUGAUGCGCAUUCAUACGAGGCACGCUGCAUUCAGUUGCAACUAGACGUAGAUGCGAGAGCCGAUCUUGACUGCGAGUGGCGAGGUGACUCCACCUACAAUCCUGCAACCGUUGCCUCAGCUCUCCAGUAACCUUAUCUGUAACAAGCUCUCCGUAUUACCGAAGCUGCUGCAGCUCUUCGGUCACUGUGAAAUUUGGUAACGUGGUUGCCAAGCUCGGCGUCCCACGGCUGCAUGUUUAUAUGGAGGCAACAAUGCCGAGAUUACAUGGAGUUUGUUUUAAAUAUAACUUGACUACCAAGCCAAUAUCUCUAAGCAUAUCUCUAGUAUAUCUCUAGGACUCUAUCUCUAGGAUUAGAUGAGAUCACAACUAAUUCUAGCAGUCAUUGCAGAAUCACUAAAGUUGCCGAGUCAGAUUGGUCUGUGUUUUAGCCAGUGCCGGGAUUACCUAACGGCUUUUGAACCGUGCCUACAUUAUCAAGAACACUGGUCGCGAAGAAGAAAAAGAAACAUUGUGGAAUGGGUACUUUUUGUUUUAUUGAGCUGAUUGUGAUCUGUGAAAUUGUGUGCUACCAUGAACGUAGACUCCUGUCGUUUUCAGGCAUACGCCAGAGUUUGGGGAUUGGUUGGUUUGCGAUCAACUGUCGUGGCCAAACACGGUGCGGCUGUUUUGAGAUGUCCAUUUGCCAAGCGCCAAUAAAGCCUUGGAAUGCUGGUCCCUGGCAGCAGGAUCCUAUGGUUCCAGUUUUCGAUGCUUCAUCCGAUGCCCUAGUGUCCAUUGCAGUGACUAGCAUCCAGGCGGACGGAUGAGGUGGACACCACGCCAGGGACAUCGAGCUUGAUUUCACCUUGUUCUGCUGACAUGGAGGCGGUCAGGCGGCACAACGCAGCAAGGAACCAGAAGGCGACGCCUUGUAGGGUAGUGCCCAAGUACCUGACGACUUGUCGAAGACGCACCUCAUCGGCGGAGAUGGCGGCCACCUGGUACCCGAAGAGGAGAUGGAGGAGAGGAAUGAGCCUAUGAGGUACCGCCAGCGGAGAAGACGUCGCAGAGUAGCGGUGGCAGAAAGCGGAAGGGAUCGGCGUCGCUGUGUGCCUAGGGUAUAGAUGUCUAGAUGGCCCGUAGCCUGACAGCCCGCCUAGGAGCCCUUUUUUGGCCCAGUCCAACCGCGGCUUGGCAUGGUAGCCUUCAUGCCCGUGCUUGCCCAGCCCGCUACCUCGUGCCAGGCAUGGGCCGCCACCCAGCACGCUGAGCGGCCCGCCUCUCGCCAAAGGUUGGGAGCUCGGGGAGGGGGCUUAUAUAAUCUCCCCUCCCGAUGGCCACCCCCCUCCCCCAACCAUAGUUUCAUUCCCCACUCGCCGUUGCCAUCUCGCCUCCGGCUCUGGUGAGAUCUCCGGCUCUCUGCGUCGCGAGACCGCGACUCCGCUCCGCAUCUUGCACCUCUUCCUCCUAUCUCCUCCUCGCGACCUCACCUCCUCGGCUCCUCCUCUACUAUCUUCUCGUCACCUCCUCUCCUCCUCCUCAAGUCCAUUGCAUCUCGCCGUAGUUGGCUGUCGUCUUUGCCAUCUCGUCGUCACCCUCUCGUCUCUCAUCGGCUCCGAGCUCCGGCUGUGUAGGUAACUGCCUAACCCUAGUCGCUAGAUCUAGAUCUUGAGUUAUUUACAUCUCGUAUCCGUGUUCAUGUUCUUGUUAUCAUGUUCGUGUUUGUGUCCGUGUUCUUGACUUCCUUCACCUUCUUGGCUGCAGGUCUUGGGCUGGUGCACCACGGGGCCACGCGCCAUUCAGGAAUGGAGCUAUUGAGGGUGGAGGCGGGUUGUAGGAGGAGGUCGUCGUGAUGGAUGACAUGGAAGAGUACACCAUCAAUGACAACCUCACGGCCUAUGGGCUGCCCGGCAACGACGAGGAUGACGUGAUUGCCGGCGGUGAGGCAUUGUUAAGUAGCUCUGUUGCUCCGAUCAAUGUGGAUGGCGGUGAUGAUGUCAGUGCUGCUAGAGGUGUAGGUGUUGGUGUCGACUCGUCAAUGACUCAGACGUCAUCCACCUUUACUGACACUAGCGGUCAAUUGAAGCAUGUCAGGUCUGCUGCCUGGAAUGACUUUGAGGAGAUCUAUGAGACUUUGCCCAACGGCAAGAAGGUGAUAAUUGCUGCUAAGUGCCGUCAUUGUUCUCGUGUUCUUUCUGGGCGUUCUUGUGCUAGUACUGGGCAUUUGCUCCGGCACAAAAAGGUAUGCGUGGCUAAAGCUAAUCAUGCUGUUGUAGUUCAGUCUCGUCUUUAGUUCAAUGUUGAUGAUUCUGUCCAUACCUAGGAGUAUAAACCUUAUGUUUCUUGUAGGGAGUUAUGACAUUUAAUUGCUAGACUUGAUUUGCCUCUCGGUUUUGGUCGCAAAGAUGCAUUUGAUGAGUAUAUUUAACGUGCUCACAAUCCUCAUUUUGCUAGUCUCUAGGCAAACCACGACUAGAGAUUUAGAAAAGUACUUCUUAGAUCGUCGUGCUUCUCUAAUUUAAUGUUUGAAAUAUAUUUCUUCUGUUUGUCUUACAUCUGACACUUGGUCUAGUAAUGCUAAGAAAGACUAUCUUAGUGUUGUUGCUUAUUUUGUUUGCGUUGAUUGGGAGUAAGACAAGAAAAUCAUUGGUCUUAGGCUCAUUGAUGUCUAACAUUUAGUGCUAACAUUGUUGAACGUGUUGAAGCAGUUGUUACUCAGUUUGGUUUUAAGGAUAAAUUUUUUUCCGUGACACUUGAUAAUGCUUCUUCAAAUGCUUCUGCCAUGGCCAAACUCAUUCUUAAAUUUGUUGGUUACUUUGGUCCAGACCCUAAAUCACUUGACAAUCACGAUAAAGACAAAACAUUGCAUGGUCUCUUGCACCAGCACUGUGCUUAUCACAUUAUUAACCUCAUUGUCAAGUCUGGUUUGAAGAGGAUCAAGUCUUAUCUUGAGGCUUUUAGGACUAUAAUUUCUUAUUUGAACUCUUCUAACCAACGCAUUGCUGAAUUUCAUAACUUUUGCAUUGUUACGGGGUUCGCCCUCGUAAGUUUGGUUUGGAUAUGGAUAUGAUAUGGAAUUAUACUUAUCUCAUGAUCAAGCACCUUAUACCAUACAAAUACACCUUCUCUAUCUUUAUUGGUGCUAAUUAUGGUUUGGUUAAUGGUGAGCCACUAUUAAGUGAUGGUCAUUGGACUGUUGCUGAGAAGAUUAUGGAGUUUCUUGAAAUGUUUUAUGAAUCAACUUUGCUUUAUCUGGUGUUUACUAUCCAACAAGUCCUUUGAUGCUGCAUCAUAUUAUUGACAUUGCUAGUCAUUUACAUACCAAAGAGACUGAUCCAUUACUCAUGAGCAUUGUUACUCCUAUGAAACUCAAGUUCCUCAAGUACUGGCAGAACAUCCCUCUUUUGUAUUCCUUUGAAUUUAUUUUGGAUCCUAGAGCCAAGAUGAGAGGUUUUUAUAAUGUUCUCCAGUUUCUUUCUCAGACUAUUGGUGUUGACUAUUCUAGUUACAUCAGUGAGGUAAAAAGUGAAUUAUAUAAACUGUAAAACAAGUAUGAAAACAAGUUUGGUGCAGUUAGGUUGUAGAGGCCCUCUCAAGCAGCAGGAUCUACUGGUGACGGGUCCAUAUACCUGGGAUCCCCAACGGGACUGCCUUCCCGCGACACUUGGCCCAACGAAGGGCACAGCAACAAUGUACACUUGGGCCAGCCCGUCUACGCAUAGCCAGGCCGAGGCCCCGAUCUGACCACCGGCCGAUUCCUCCGACAAGGAAGCCUAGUCAGCACCCUGACCGGAAGGAGCCAGUCGGGGGUGGGGCCACAGUCCGACACCGACUGAGUUCUCCUGACCGGGUCCUCCCGACUUGGGAUGCACCAUACCGCCCAUACCGCUCCCCCCGACCGACUCGGUCGGGGCUGACCGGGACAACCAACCAGGGAUGGUGGGACGGAUAACGAGGAAGCACCCGAGUCAGCCGACUGUACGCAGAACCGUACCACGCCAUGGCCUGCGCACGUCUUGCAUAGUGCCGCCAUAAACCUAUUAGCUACGACGUAGUGGCCUGACGAGGAGAACAGGGACCAAGGAUGCAGACCAUACCAUACCGAACGACGUGGGCUUCGACAAGACUAGGCAGCACUCGUACACUCACUCCUUAUCCUUUCCGACCUGUAAGGCUAUUCUCUUGUACUAUAAAAGGGGAUGGACCCUCCACCUCUACGACACGCACACUCUUACAUUCUUACACUCUUGCGCGUUCACACUCUCACAUACUUAGCGCACGUCUGAGCUCCUACCACUCUCUUCCACUGAGAUGAGAACAAGGCCAGGACUCAGGCACCCUUUCUCAUCAUCCUCUCGUUUGUACCCCCACUGUAAACUUUGAGCACCUGGACUCAGGAAUAAAGUUGACCGACUGACCCCGACUGGACGUAGGGCGCAUUGCCCAAACCAGUAUACAUCCUGUGUCAUUGUGUGCUAGGCCAUAUCCGAUCUAACGCACAACAAAACUACAAAUAUUUACUUGUCGGCCAGAUUUCACACCGAUAACUGGUAAGAAAAAAACAGCAUGGGGUAAGAUAUUUGGGGCUCUUGGUGCUAGUUCCAGUGGUUCUGAUUCUUCAAUUGUUCUUGCAUCUACAUCUUCUCCUGCUAUAGGAUCUAUUUCUGAGUUGUCUUCUUACUUGGACAUCGACACUAUCACCUUUUAUGAUGAUGAUUUCAACAUUCUAAGUUGGUGGCAUGAGCACAAACUUACAUACCCCAUUCUGCCCAUACUAACUAAAGAUGUGAUGUCUGUUCCAGUUUUCAUUAUUUCUUCAGAGUCUUGCUUUAGUCUAACUGGCAGGGUGAUCGAGGAGCGAUGAUGACGAUUGUUGCCUCAUACGGUGGAGAUGUUGACCUGUCUCAAAGACUGAAAGUUGGGAGAUGUAAGGGCACAACAUGAGGUCGAGAAGUGGAUGCAAGAGCUAGAGGAAGCAUUCGACAAGUUCCUAGAUGAAGGCGAAGGGCAAGCUACUGAUAAGCAGUAAGUACUUGGCUACCUGCACAACUAAAUGUUUUGUUCUUUUCAUCUACUAAUUCAUAUUUUGUUGUUCAAGUUCCUAAUCUUUGACUCUUUGUUUGUUAGGCCUACCCCUGCCACUACUGCUAAUGCCUAGUGAAGAAGUGAUAGCAAGCAACUAAGCAAGGCAGCAAGCUAGCAGGCUACUGGACAAGCUACUCCAACAAACUACUACUAUCUACUGGACUUAUCUUUUUGACUUCAUGAUCUAUUCAUGUGAUGUAAUGUAAACUUGAAUUAUAGAGCUGGGCUGUACUCUUUUUCCCUUUCUAAGGUUUUCUUGCAAGGGUGAGCUUUUACCUAGGAAGGUUUUUAAUAAGGCAGUCAACACUUGAUCACAUAGAUCAAGUGUUAAAAUAGCUCUAUAAUUUCCAUCAUCACUUUCUUAUCAGUUAUGAAGUGAUGAACUUGUGUUUAUUUGGAGCCUAUUGUGUUUAUUUUGUGCCUCUUGGUCACUAGAACUUAUGUUAAAUUUUGCCUAUUGUGUUUAUUUGUGAAAUUUGGAGCUGAUGAAGUGGUUAAUACUUCAGCGAGUUGUGGGCCGGCAUGGCACGCAGAUUGUGCAUGUGCUUCACGAGUUGGCUAGGCACGAAAUAGGCCCGUGGGCCUAUGCCUGGGCUGUUGGUGCAGCCCGUGGGUUGGCACGACCCGUUUCGAUGGGGGUGUAGUGCCGGGCUAGGCCUGCCACGAAGUUGGCCGGGCCUAGCUAGGCCCGUGCCAAGCUGGAUCGGGCUGCCCGUUAGGACAUCUAUAGCUUAGGGUGCAUCGAUGGAAAGAUAAGGAUUUUUGGUGAUCUUGCCCCCAUUUUUGAACUAUGUGAUUUUGCCCUCACCUAUUCACACGUCAAUGGAAUUUUGCCCCCGGGCUUUGCGUAUUUGCCCCUAUUUUGACCAUUGACUAGGGGCAAAAUCGCAUUGACUUAUGAGUAGUUGAGGGUAAAAUCACAAAGUUGAGAAAAUGAGGGCAAAAACACAAUUACACUUCAAACCAGGGUAUGAAUACAAUGCCGCAAAGAAUAAAAGGUGCAUUGAUGGGCUAUUGGAUUGUUCGAUGUGAUGUUGGCCCAUGUGUAGUUCUCAUGUUGUAUGCUCUUUUUUAUUUUUUAGAUCCUGUUUGUGGAUUCACCAACUAAAAUUUAACUGACUAGAUUUAACUUAGAUGAUCCCUAUGACCCAGAUAAAGGAGCCGCUACCUCUUCUAGCUAAUUGGAAGACAACUAUCUUUUAGUUGGUUGAACCCAACUAAAACUAGCUAACGCGUAAAUGGGGUUAAAAGAUUGAAAUGCCCACAUUUGUUCCCCCAAAUUUUCCACAGCGAUAUUAAAUGAAGGUUAGCAUGAUCGCAAAGUAGUAAUUAGCUAGUGGAUCUAAACAUCCUUAGCUAGUUAAACUUUAGCUAGCUAUAAAGAGUCUUUACUUUUUAUCUAGAUAAAUUUUAGUUAGGGUGAGAUGUCGGUGUUUUAUACCCGGCAACCUACCGAGGGGUAUCCCGAGAUAGUAGAUUGAUUAGUAGGGGAUCGCCGAACCUGGAACUCGAAGGUAAAAGCGAGGACACAAGACACAGAUUUAUACAGGUUUGGACCGCCAGAGUAGUGUAAUACCCUACGUCCUAUUUGGGGUGUUGUAUAUUGCACCCUGCGCUUGGGUGUUGUUUGGUGUUGAGGAUUUGGUCCUCUGUUGUGAUUCUACGAGGUCUUGGCCUACUUAUGUAGGGAUCCCUACCCCCCUUUAUAUACUCCAGGAGGUGAGAUUACUAUUCGGUUACAAGGAGGAGUCCUAGUAGGAUUACAUGGUAUGAGUCCUAGUAGGAUUACAUGGUAUGAGUUCUAUGAGGUCUUAGCUUAUCGAUCUAGGUACUCCUGCCAUCCUUUAUAUACUCCAAGGAGCGGGAUAUCUAGUCGGUUAUAAGGAGGAGUCCUAGUAGGAUUACAUGGUAUGAAUCCUAGUAGGAUUACAGAGAAAUUCUAAUAGGAGUCCAUCUUCUUCCUUCCUUGUGAGUAAUGGGGAUCUAUUCUCGACAAGCUCCCGAGCGCUUCAUAGUCGAAUGUAGUAGUUUUUGAGUACUUUUUAGAUCCUCUCGCCAAGUAGUAUUAGUGCUCCUCAAGUACUAUGUCUGGCUGAAUCUUUAAAGUUUUUUAAAACUACCAUGAGGCUAUGGUGUGCUUAAGCCCUUGAUCAUCUUGAUUUUGUAAUUUUCAUCUUUGGAAUGUGAUAUCGAGGGUGGCAAAAGUCGCACUCCAUAUGGAGUAGCCCCUGAGCCUUAGGUUGAAUCUAAGAAUUAGGCUAAAUGUCAAUAAAAUCUUGCAUCUUCUUCUUUCAUCUUAAAAAAUCAACUGUUGGGUGUAGCUUAUCAGCCCUUGAGUCUUGGAAUGAUUAAAUAAUCAAUUCAAGAGUCUAGCGAGAUUUAAUGUUCACGCAAGUCAUCAUUCGAGUAGUUUUGUGGUGUCCAGCCCCUGAGCUUAUGCUCCAGGUGAGCCGUAGGAGCCACGUCGAGUAGUUAUUUAGUGCUUAGCCUCCAAGCUUGGAAGCUAGCUUAGCCAUUGGAAAUAUUCCGAGUAGUAAUUGGUGCUUAGCUCCCGAGCUUGGGAGCUAAUGGAGCCACUGGAGGUACGCCGAGCGUCCUGCAAAGUCGUCGUUGAAGAUUGACCUACAAAAGGAGAUGCACAAAUUAUAUAGCAUAUUUAUAGAAUUUUGAAAAUACUACCGAAAUUUAUUCAAUGUAAAUGUUGUAUGUUAUGCUCUUGUUUCGACCAUAUUUCUCCCGAGUAGUUAGACUGUUACGUUUAGUCUCUCAGCCCAUGUUUAGGCAUUGCCAUUGUGUGUGAGAUCUUUGUCUCGUGUACGCGUAUUGGCACUGCUGCUACGGAGAUCUUUGUCUCGCGUCCUAGCAUUUAGGCAUGAUAGAAGAUCUGAGUCUUUCACGAAUUAAGGCAUGUUCUGCUCGAGGAUAUUAGUGACCACUAAGAGAAGAUAGUAAAAAUAAGUAGUUGGUAUUGCGAUAAAAAAGACUCCGUGAUUGCCCGUAAAAUAGUUAUUAAGACUUCCCUACCUUUUGGUGAGGAAAGCGCGUGUUUGUCGCGCAUAGGAUUUGUGCCUCACUAGGGUAUAGCCGGUGUGAGCCUCCAGCACUCAGUGCACCAAAUCUGUGGUCGUAGCCUCCGAAUUCGAUUUACCAAGUCUGUUGGCGGAGCUUUCGGAACUCAGUGCAUAAAAUCCAUGGCUAUAGCCUCCGUAAUUGGGUGUACAAGGCUGUCGAUCAACAUGCCCCAAGAAUAGUCGGCGAAGUGUAGCUUUGAAGGUUAAUUCCCAUCGAGAGGCGUAUACAAAUAAAUAGUUGGCGCAUUCACCAACCAUGCUGAAAACAAGCCAGAGAAAAAUAAUUAUUGAAAAAUAACUUAGCUUGAUUCAUGGAUGACUGUCGAUGAAGCCGCGACUUUUGUUGAUGAAGCCAACUAAUCGGAGUUGAUUCCAACUAGCUGUCGAUGGCAUGAGGCCCGCCCUCGACUAGUUUUCUAGUCAAGAUGAGUAGUUGAAGUAGUCGUUAGCGAGUUGGCGUAGACGUCUUGAUCUUGCAGAAGUAGUCGAUCGCAUUGUUGGAGAUUUGUUGGUGUUGCCCUGCAACCUGAAGUCCUUCUGGUAGCUUUUUUGGUGUGUGCAUAGCUGAAUACACCAUUGAUUUCCAGCGCCAGAAGGAACAACAGCAGUUGUUUCUUUAUUUUGAUGCUUGGCGUGCUCUUCCGUCUUCGAUCAGCAAAGCUGGUCUCCGCUUCGAACUCAACUAAGCAAAUUGAUUCCUGUAGGAUUCCAUCUUGACGCCAUCCAAUUCUAUUGCAUCUCGAUCUUGAUGCUUGCAGACAAUAUGCGGCAGGUGAAUUGCUCCACUCCGCACUCCGUUUCGAAUUCCAAUUCGGCGAGAAUAGAUGCCAGCUUGGAAUUAGCCUGUCUGGCAACUUUGCCUCGGACUCCGACGCAGUUGCACACCGAGUCGUCGAUUGGAUAGGAGAACAACGUUCUUGUCUUGUAGAGUAGAUUGAUCUUGAUGAUUGUUGAUGAUAAGAUCUUUCAAGCUUGCUCGAUGAUCUCGACAAUCACCCCUACAUGGCGUGCAAAAUGUCGGUAUCUUAUACCCAGCAACGUACCGAGGGGUAUCCUAAGGUAGUAGAUUGAUUGGUGGGAUAGCCGGACCUGAAACUCGAAGGUAAAAACAAGGACACAAGACGCGGAUUUAUAUAGGUUCGGGCCGCCAGAGUAGCGUAAUACCCUACGUCCUAUUUGGGAUGUUGUAUAUUGCACCCUGUGCUUGGGUGUUGUUUGAUGUUGAGGAUUUGGUCCUCUGUUGUGAUUUUAUGAGGUCUUGGCCUACCGAUUUAGGGAUCACUACCCUACUUUAUAUACUACAGGAGGCGGGAUUACUAUUCGGUUACAAGGAGGAGUCCUAGUAGGAUUACAUGGUAUGGGUUCUAGUAGAAUUACGGAGGAAUUCUAGUAGGAAUCCGUGUUAUCCUUCCCUGCAGGUACCAGGGAUCUAUCCCUGAUAGAUGGAUCUAAACAGAACCUUAUCUUAGGGUGUGUUUGGAUCCUUGACUAAAGUUUAGCCCUAUCACAUUGAAUGUGUGGAUGCUAAUUAGACGGACUAAACAUGAACUAAUUAUAAAACUAAUUGCAAAAGCCCUAAGCUAAUUCGCGAGACGAAUCUAUUAAGCAAUAAUUAGGCUUAAUAGAUUCGUCUCUCGAAUUAGGCUCCAUCUGUGCAAUUAGUUUUGUAAUUAUUUUAUAUUUAAUACGCAUAAUUAGUAUCAAACAUCCGAUGUGAUAAGUUAAAAAGUUUAGCUCCAAUGAAACAAACACCCCGUUAGCUAACUAUCUAUUGUUUAACCUUUGCCACGUUGGUAAGAGACCGCUUCAUCUCACCGCAACGGAGUGACAACUAUGGCUCCGUUUGUUUCCGCGGUCCGCUUGCGGUGCGGCAGCAGACCGCCACAACCCCGCCGAACGCCACGCGGUAUGCGUGAUUCUCCGCGCCGUGCGGCCCGCGCGCUUCAGGUUUUCAACGGGGCGCCGCGCGAUCUGAGGACCGCGAUUGUGGCAUACGACCCUAAUUCUCUUACUCUUCCCCACUCGUUUAGGUUACAACAUUACAUGGUCAAAUUAUUAUAACUAGUUACCUACAAGUAUCUGAAACCCAACUUUACAAUUUCUAGAAAGGGAACCCAACUUUAUUAUUCAACACUUUUCCUUAUUAAAAAGGUUCCACAUCUCAAGUUACAUGCCUACGUCUUGUCAGGAACAUAAAAAAGAACAAUAUCGGUGAAGAAGUUUGCAAACAAAGUGUUCCAUUUUGUAUAGAACGGAGUUUUAACAACCUCGCAGAAAAACAGUUCAUCAUAGUCAUAAGCUGGCAAUGACGUUGAUUUAUCCAACCAUAAACAAUGUAUUACAGACCACAAAGUAUUCUAACGAGAAAAUAAAUAAUGGUAAUUUACAAUGAAUCAUAGCGUGACGUAAUAUGCAACUGGCAACCAUGUCCUCCUGAAAAAUAUCACAAACGAACUCUAGAGAGCCCUCGUGAAGUCCUGAUCCUGCUUUGUGUGAUGGGAAAAUAAAUUGCGUCCCAAGACAAGAAAGAAAAAAAAAAGCCGGCCUUCUUGGGCCGCAAGCCGACCUGCCGAACCGGCACCACCGCAACGCACAAAUACGCGCAUAUCCGCCCACCGCGGUUUUGAUCGAGACGGAAGGGCAGCCAGCCUUAAACCCUACUUGCCCAAACCCACGACCCACCACAGCCAUGGCCGCCGCCGCCGCCGCCGCCGCCAAGGCCGCAGCCGCGGCCAUCUCCGCGGGGGCCGCCGUCGCGCUCUGCACCGAGCGGGCUCACGCCGAGGGGGGUGGCUCCAUGUUCCGCUUCCCGGGCUUCUCCACCCCCUCCCCCUCCCCCUCCCCCUCCCCCGCCGCGCCGCCGCCGAAUCAGCAGCCCCCAGCGCCGGCGGACGGGCGGGGCGAGGAAGCCGCGGAGGAGGUGCCGAGGGUUUCGACUCAGCACGCUCGCACGAGCGCGGCGGGGUUCGAUCCCGCGCCGCUGGAGCGCGGGGUGCGUGCGCUGGAUCGGCUGGGGCAGUCGCCGGACCCCAAAAAGGUGGGAUUCGUCGAGGCCUCGAGGGCCUUUCUCGGUGGUUCUUUUACUUAUUUUGUUCUGCGGCGGGAUUUUGAUGGGAGGCUGUGUUGACCCGUGGUUGUGCAGUUGUUCGAGCUAAUGAAGAAGCAGGAAGAAACGCGCCAGCAGGAACUCGCUGCGAAGAAAGUCGAGGAGCAGAGGCAACUGGCCCAGCUUGAGAUUGUGAGACUUCUCUGGUCCCAUCAUUGCUGGCCUUCAAAUUUCUUGGUUAUGAUGCUUUGGACGAAAUAGCGCUUCCUCCAACUAUCCUAACAGAAACAAAGCCUUUUAGUCUGAAGCAAGUGAUAAGCAAGUUUGUAGAAAUAUUGUGUAAAAAAUAAUUUCGAGGUUUUAAGAUUCUAAGGGACAAUUCUAGUGUACUCUGCACUCUUGCGGAAUCUCCACAUUGACCGACACAAGUACAUAAUUGCUGUGGAUAUAUCUUCAGUCAUAUGGUCCAAUAGCCAUAGUGUUGCACUCCUGUUGAUGCUCUGAUUUUAUUGUGUUUAGUUAACGUACCGCUUCAAAUGAUUCUUUAUGAUAAUUCUGGUUUGUGUGACCAUAUUGUAUGUACGACCUGUUAGCUUUAGCUUCUUGGCUGCUUGCAAUACAAAUGUAGGGAAUCAACACACGAUAUGUUAGAUAUGUUUAUUCAUUAUUAUACUCUUCUUUUUUGGUGGUAUUUUAAAGAGUGGCCUUAUGCUAGCAAUUAACUUGAAUUGAGUUCAUGUCUGUGCAUUGGUUCUCUUACUCAUUUAGAAUAUUUGAGAUCACGUCAAGCAUAUUUAUUCAAUGAAUCGCAUGGAUCUGUGAUGCAGAGGUUGCUAAAUUGAUGUUUACUGUUGCAUACUUUCUCCAGUAUAAAAAAUUAGUAUUGUUUUGCACGCUGACAGUCUCCAGAACAUUGUUUUUUCAAGACAAAUCCUUUUUUCUAUGAUUUUUAUAUGGCUGGUCUAUGUAUUUGUAAAGAUGUUUUGGUGGAGGUGAAAUUGUUUUGCAGCAAACAUCCUAGGAAGACACAUUUUUGUUUUUUAUUGGAGAGAGUUUUAUUACAGUAGUGUAACUUGCUGUAUUCUCAUUUUUGCUUUGUUAAGUCACGGAUUAGAUGUGCUUCUUUUGUAACAUGAGCCAUUUUGCAGGAGAAAAAACGGAUAGAUUAUGAAGAAACUAAAAAACUUGAUCAACAGCGAGCUAAAAUGAAGGCACAGUCAGCUCAAUAUGAAGAUGACCUUAAAAGGAAGCGAUUACAGGCGGAGCAUGAGGCACAGAGGGUGAGGAACCAGGAGCUCGUGAAGAUGCAAGAGGAAUCUGCAAUUAGGCUAGAGCAGAUACGGCGUGCGACCGAGGAGCAAAUCCAGGAACAGCGGAGACAGACAGAGAAGGAGAGAUCAGAUAUAGUGCGGGAGACUAUUAAACUGAAAGCCAUGUCAGAGGCGCAGGCGAGAAUAUUAGAAACAAAAGAAACUGAAGAUGUGAAGCGGCGAUUGCUUGUGGAUCAGAUAAAAGCUGACAGGGAGAAGUGGAUCGAAGUGAUAAAUACAACCUUUGAGCAUAUAGGAGGUAUGCCUUACCGAGUGAACAGUUUCUUAUUGGAUAUUUCUGCAGUUCUUAUUUAUCAUAAGCUAUUUUUACCAAUUUGUGUAACAAAACUUAGGUGAUUUAAUAAAACUUUCCAGAUUUAUUACUUUUAAUUUGAAACUAGUAUUUGGAUCAGGUAUCACCUAGGGAAUAGUACUGUGGGUACCAGCAUAGUGUUAUCUAAGUUAUAUUGUAUGCAAACUUGUGAAGCUAGAGGUGUUUAUAUGCUUAUAUUAUGAAUCCUUGGUGGAGGAAACUUGGUCAUCCUUUCUUUCCGUUUUUCCCUUCAGGUGGUUUGCAGACGAUAUUAACUGAUCAAAAUAAGCUAGUUGUAGCAGUUGGAGGUUUAACAGCACUUGCCGCGGGGAUAUACACAACGAGGUAAAGUUCAUAAGUAGUGUGGUCCACAUUUUGAUUUUUGGUGUUCUACUUGUCAUAACUUUGAUGUUUCUUAGUGUUUGUAAGUAGUAGUGAAGCGAAUCCUACAUGUGCAUCUGCAUUGGAGCUCAUAAUUUUAUUGAACUGCUGCUGUGAUCCACUUUUGAACUUCUGAAGUCAAGGAGUAUGAAACCAACUAUGAUAAUAGAAUUACACCGGAAUUUUUGAAAGAAACAGUUGCAUUGUAACUUCUCGCUAUGUUUCCACUAAAUUUGCUGCUUCCUUUGCUUUGGAUGAUUCCUUAUUAACCACACUGUUAGAACAAGGAUGAAGAUCUUAUCGUUCAUGUUAGCUAUUUAUGAAUAUGCUAUAGCACUAUUUUUCUUGGAGUCAAUUUUUUUACUUUCAAUAUGUACCUUAAAUGUUUUUGUUUUGGUGAUUUUUUUGGCUAAUUUUAAUGCCCUUACAUAGAUUCACGUAUUUUCCCCAGGGAGGGUGCAAGAGUAGUCUGGGGCUAUGUUGACCGUAUUUUAGGUCAGCCAUCAUUGGUAAGGGAGUCAUCACGAGGGAGGUACCCCUGGUCUGGUUCUUUAUCACGUGCUACAAGUAGCCUCACUAGCAAACUGAAGAAUGGAAGCAACCCGGGGAAGAAUGGGAAUGGGUUUGGUGAUGUUAUUCUAAAUCCUUCUCUCCAGAAGAGAGUGAAGCAGCUUGCUAAUGCCACAGCCAACACAAAACUUCAUCAAGCUCCUUUCAGGAACAUGCUUUUCUAUGGGCCUCCCGGCACAGGGAAAACAAUGGCAGCACGAGAACUAGCUCGCAAUUCUGUAUGCUUCAUAGACUCUACCCUUACAAAAAAUGCUGGAACUGUUGCUAUCCCUCUAAUGUUGUGACCAUUUACAGGGAUUAGAUUAUGCACUAAUGACUGGUGGAGAUGUUGCACCAUUGGGAUCACAAGCAGUCACCAAGAUUCAUCAGUUGUUUGACUGGGCAAAGAAAUCUAAUAGGGGUUUACUCCUCUUCAUUGAUGAAGCUGAUGCUUUCUUGUGCGAGUAAGUGAGCCAAAUCCUCAGAUUCUUUUCUAGUAUUAUGCGAUUCUUUUAGCAUGGCUGAUACAAGUUUUCAUGAUUGAUGGAAUAAUUCAGAUCUAUCAUUGAUAUUUGCAAUGCUUCUACUUAGUCACUCAUCUAUCACAAUCGCAGAGUCACUGGCCUUAUAUAAACGAGUUUGACUAGUGUUGUAGAGUCCUAUGUAACCCAGUUGGCAUUGGUUAAUGGAAUAAUGCCUCGUGCAUACCAUUAUGGCUCUGUUUACUUAUCCUUUAGCUAUCUGAUAAAAGAAGUUGCAACUUGUAAUAACUGUGCGUGGCUCUAUAAGUGAUAUAAGUAUUUAUUUUGCAAAAGAAGUGUAGUGCACCAAUGAUUUUGUGGCACCAUUCAGCUAUAUUGUCAUCUCCCCAUAUACCAAAACAAUUGAGCUGUCUUGUUUAGCAUGUUAUAAGUUCUGAUCAUAUUUCUUGUCCUGAACAACUUGCAAACUGUAGUGACAUCUGGGACUGAUUUUUUGUUCCCUGCAGGCGGAAUAAGACUUACAUGAGUGAAGCUCAAAGGAGUGCCCUGAACGCUCUCCUCUUCCGCACAGGUGAUCAAUCCAAGGAUGUUGUCCUUGCACUGGCCACCAACAGGCCCGGUGACCUUGACUCUGCUGUUGCUGACCGAAUUGAUGAGGUCCUCGAAUUUCCCCUGCCCGGGGAAGAUGAGCGAUUCAAGAUCCUGAAGCUGUACCUGGACAAAUACAUUGCCAAAGCCGGUGACAAGUAUGAGAAGAGUUGGCUCCGGUUCUUCCGACGCCAGCCUCAGAAGAUUGAGAUGAAGGGAAUCACUGAUGACCUGAUCCGGGAGGCUGCCGCCAAGACUCAAGGCUUCUCCGGAAGAGAGAUUGCGAAGAUGAUGGCAAGCGUCCAGGCUGCGGUUUAUGGCAGCAAGGACUGCGAGCUCACUCCAGCCCUAUUCCGUGAGGUCGUGGAUUACAAGGUUGCGGAGCACGAGCAGCGGAGAAAAUUGGCUGGAGAGGAGCCGAAGCAGAAUGCUUAGGAUGACCAUUUUUUGCAUUCACCCCCUUUUGCCGUGGCAUGAAGCUGUGUUUUCCCGCGGGAUAGAUCACCUCAUCGGGGCAGGUGUUCGUUUGCUCCGUCGUUAUUCUUUUGCUGCACUCACCCCACUAGGGGGUAUUUGGUGGUAGGCGAUGGUAACUUGAUAAGAGAUGAGGAUUACUUCGGCGGUAGGUCACACACAACAAGCUGGCCUUUUUUGUGAACGGGCAUUUGCCUGCAAUGGUCUGGUUCGCUGACCAAUAAUCCAUAGUGGCUGCUAUGUUUAGGGGUGGUUUUACAGUUUCUGCAGCUGUAUCACAGUUCAGGCAGUGAAUGAAUGAGCAAUUUCUUUCACCAAUCUUUUGUCAUCCGCUCAUGCGCAACAAUGUCGUAUACGGUAUACCCGGCUCUUCUGCAGGUUGAAAACGUUUCUGCCGUGCCACACCACGCUCCAUCAGAACCUUGCAUUAUACGGAUUUGUUUAUUUUAUUUUAUUUUACCUGCCGAGGCAGAGAUUACUGAUGCAACCAUCUUUGCUGGAUCGCGCCGUGACUCAGCGACGCUUACGGGCAAACUAAUUGAUAUUCGAUGCUACUCCCUCCGUUCAGUUCCAAAUAAUUUAGAACGGAGGGAGUACCUACCGUUGAGCGACAAACCAAACCAAAAUUACAGAGAACAGCAGAAUCACCCAACACAAAACGAAGCAUCUCGGUAACCACCAAUCCACCAUAGCCUUCAACACCAAAAUGCUGUUAAUCGUAUUUAUAUAGAUACAAUCCACAAAAGAUCUGUUGUGAGGUUCCAGUUUUUUCAGAAGUAACCUUGCUGUAUCCAGCUCAGCUCGUGGCGCUUGACAAGUGGAACAGAUACAGGCCCGAGGCAAAACACAGUCAAGACUCAAGAUGGAAACUACAAUGUGACGGGGUAUCGCCCAACCCAAGCUCAUUCAGCAGAACCGUGGCUCACAGGGACAUCACACUCGUCAAGCAGCGCUCUGAUGUUGUUCUCAGGGGCACUUACUGAGGGAAGUAUGUGGCGCCUUGGAACUGCGGAUCUCGACCUUGUGCUGCUGCUGUCAGCCUCGAGCUGCGACCCUUCCUGCACGAUCGGCAAGUCAGUCCUCACCCUCACGCUAACUGAAGACAUCUUUUCCUUCCAUAUCCUCCCAUCCUAGCAUCCAUAAGAUCAUCAUCAAUAAAACCAAUUAUUAAGGGAACAAUAACUUUGGAUGAUCUGAUGUUUUGCUACAGAGGAAAUGUUGAACUUCAAGCAUACAAGAGGGCAGAUUGUAAAUGAGAAAGGUAAGAUAAGAUCAGGCAUGUUUGUUGUUGUUGUAACACUAAAUUCUGCAACAGAAGGAAUUUCGCUAAUAUGAUUCAACACUGAAGUCUGCAACACAAGAAAGUUUGCCGAUAUGGUCUCAUUCAACACUGAUGGCAUCUUCACCUUUCAUACCCUCCCUUCCUAUCCUAGCAUCCAUCAAUCAAGUAAGACCAAUUAGACAACAAUAAGUUUGCAUUGUAUGAUGCUUAGGCUACAAGGGAAAUGCUGAACUUGGGCAGAUUAUUAAUGAUAGACGCAACAUAAGAAUUGACAGCUUGGGCCUGUUCGCUUCAGCUUAUAAGCCGGCUGAAAAGCCGAAACGUCUGAUUUGUUGUGAGAGGAAAACACUGUUGCUGGUGUAACACUAGAUUCUGGAACAUGAGAAAGUUUGCCAAUAUGGUUUAACAAUACAUCCUGCAGCACAAGAAAGUUAGCUAAUAUCGUUUUUAACUCUAAAUUCUGCAACAUAAGGAGUUCACUGAUACAGUCGUUUUUGUCAGCAACGUGAUUCUCUCGUGCAAUUUGGGCUAAGCAUCAAGAGGAAUGCUUACAUGCAGUAUAGAAGGCUCAGGAAGCGGGCAUUUCACUGGUUGAUCAAGAUUGACAGGCUCCACAGGGCGCUCCACCGGCUUGAAUUCAACGCCAACCUCAAUACCGUGAGGACUCUCUGCAGGAACAGCUGCUGGGUCAGACUCUCCGGUACUCAUGUUGGGGGCCAACGUCUCCACAACCUCCUGAACCAUCGAAACGAAAUUCCCAAUCAAUCAGGCAAGAUUAAUCAAGAUAAGAUACGAAUUACUACUUCUUGGCUUUACCAAAUCAAAACAAACAAAUAAACAACUUGACUGCAUAACGCUAAUUUCUCGUGGACAAAUUUGGAGACAAAACAAGCUCGCAACUUUCUCCAAUUUUUGGAAGCAACAAAGGUCGAUUAAUACCAAUUGAACCCCUCCGAACUAAGAUCACCUAAAACCAAAAGGAAAAACAUGCUAAAAGCAUCCCGAUUUUGAAGAAUCGGAAGAGGAACAGAAAAGGCGAGCUACCGAGUCCUGGAGACAGCAGAAUCCACCCAUGAACGAGAAUGAGAUCAAACCAAACCAGCUCAAAUCUGAGCCUUGGAUGGCUUCAUAGAACUGACACUAACCUAGGGUUGACCUGAUACAGUUAUAUACAAGCAGAUCCCUUCUUGGACUUGGGGAAGUAAACUACACCAGAAACGACAUGGAAGUACAAGUGGGCAAAGUAGGGAAAGGAGAAAGAGGUCGAAGGGAGAUCUCACAGCGACGCUCUUGGAGCGGCGGUGGGCGCCAGAAGAGAACCUGGAGAAGAUUCCGACCAUCGUCUUCUAGCCCCCGCUCUGGCUCGAAGCUUUCUCGGAGCUGAAGGAAGCUGGCCGCUUUUCUUGUUUGCGGGGAGCACUGAUCGAUGUGUAGCAGUAAUUGACCUGUCGGAGUGUUUUAUUAUUUUAUUAUUAUUAUUUAUCAAUCUUUUUUUUGCUUUUUUCUUAAGCUCUGCUUAUAUUAGUUAAAUAACAUUAGAAUAAAGUAGGUGACAGAUAAGUAGGGGAAUCUUUUUGACGCACCCUAUUCCUUUCGAUGUUUAGACCCUCGACUUGAGAAACGGCGAGUCCUACCAAACGGGACAAACGGAAAGAGCUUCUCCACCGAAGCACCAAGGAGCGGAGCUAUUUUUGCACUGCAUCUACGAAGAAAACAAAAUCCCAUUUGGUAGGACUUCUCAAAGUAUUUCUCCACUAAUUUUUGAUAAAACUCUACUAAGGAGCAAUUUCAAAAUGAUUCCACUACCGAAAUUGUGGAGAAAUCGCAAAACAGCUUACAAUAGAUAGGAGGAGCUAAAAAUAAUAACUUCACCGGCUUCUUCUCUCUCCAAGCAUAAAGUGAUUAUACCAUAUUACUAUUGAGAAGUUAUUUUACCGAACAUUUUGCAAAAUGACUUCAACUCCAUUAAAGAAGCUGUUCCUACCAAACGGACCAAUACAACUCUUCCGGCUCCACCCUUUUACACCUGCCCGUUAGGAUGUGCUCCUUAACUUUGUGGAAAUUACACCCGAGAUGCCAUUCGAGGGAGCAGGGCGGCGCUGCGGCAGGCCUGGAGCGACGGGAGAGCAGCAUGGUGCUAUGGGACCGGAGUUGUGCGGUGCGGCUUGGUGGGAGAGAGGAGCGACGGGAGAGCAGCGACGACGCUGCGGGGCUGGAGCUGCGCGGCGCGGCUUGGCGGGGGAGAGGAGCGGCGGUGGGAACGAACGACAUGGUGAUGAGGAAAGAGACUAGACAAAGGAGGAGACCGAGGAAAGAGGCGGGUGCGGCGUCUGGAUACAAGAAAGACGUACGGAAAAAAGAGAGAAAAGUAGUGAAAUCCGAAGGGAGCGGUAAAAAGAAAAAGAAAAAGAAAGGGGAAAAGAAAAAAAUGUGAGAAAUUGAUUUUUAAUCUACAAUUUAUUUUCAUCUCAUAUUAUAACAUUAUUAUGAAGGGUACGAUCGGAUAUCUUUCAUCUAUUCCAAAAAAAUAAAUACGAGGAGCUGUUUUGCCAAACGUUUUUCAAAACGACUUCAAUUCUAUUAAAGAAGCCGCUACACUGGAGAAGUCGGAGCUGGAUCCGAAGGAGCCGAAAUCUUACCAAAUAAACCCUUAAUGUAGGUGCCUUUGGCAGGGCUUUUGAGGUGGUUUACCACCUGCUCAUGCACAAAUCAUACCAAACGCACAAAAUAAAACUAGCUUCGCUACGAAAGUUACCACAAGCUUAUUGGGAAAAUGAAACCCUACCAAGUACCAAAUACAUGAAAUAAAACUGGUUUCACCGUAAAAGCCGCCGAUUGUAAAAAUGAGCUAGGCAAUGUGAGCGAAUAAGUGGCAUGAGCCGGAAAAAAAAAAGGCAUAAAAGCCACCAUAAGCUGAUUGGAAAAAUUAAAAGAAAAGAGAAAAACAAACUAAGGAUAUUAAGGAUAUUUGACAUCUUCUAUCCAUCCAAAAAAAAUUGAAGAGAAGAUGACCGGUCCCACUACCAAGGGUACCCCAACAGAAGGAACUAAGGCUCCCUUUGGUUGGGCUUCCAAACUGCUUUUGCAAAAGCCAACCAAAGAGGUAAAAAGUCAUACAUGCUUUUGCCUAAAAGUAGCUUUCACUCUAGUACAAAUCCAAAAGCAGGUUUCCCUCCUGCUUUCACCUGCUUUUAGGCAAAGAAAUUACCCACCUGCCAUUGGUUAUGUAGGAUACCGAUUCGUUUUCCCUUUCUAUUUCCCAUCCGUUCGUGACCCCUCGUCCGUCCGUGACCCGGUCGCUGCCCUCGCACCCGGCCGCCGCCCCAGCCGCACCCGGCCGACCCCCAUCUAGCUGCAAGCAAGCGAGCAAUUUGAUUCCUGAGACAGACAGACAGAGAAGAUAAGCAUUGUAUCCAUGGCGGCGGUGAUGGUUGAGGCAGGGCCGUGAGCUGCAGCGCUACAGCGACAGCACGCGCGGUCGCAUCGUGGUGGGGUACGUCCCCUACCGCACCAGCGGCGGUGGCGAGGUGGAGGUGCUGGUGAUCAACUCGUAGAAGAAGGGCCUCGCGGGGGGCAUGCUGAUCCCCAAGGGCAGGUGGGAGCUGGAUAAGUUCAUGGAUGAGGCGGCCCGGCGGGAGGCCGCGGAGGAGGCCGGCAUGGUCGGCGAGACGGGCCCGGCCCUAGGUCGGUGGUGCUACCGCAGUCGCAGCUACGACGCAACAUAUGAGGGGUUUGUGCUCCCACUCCACGUCACGGCGGAGCUCCACCAGUUGCCUUGUCAGCGGUAGCGGCCACGGUGAAGGCCGCGGCGAUCCUCGACUCCGCCCUAUAGGCAGGCGCGCGCGGGCUCGCUCUGGCAUCGCUCGCUCCGAGUUGUGCCGGCUCGUGUUUUUCGGUCGUUUCCUGCGCGCGCGGCAGGAGGCUCUUGGUUGCUCUGCUGUCGCCGGCACAAAUCUCCUUCUUUUGUAGACCUCCGAGGUCGGGAGACCCCCUCCUUUCUUCAAAACUGGCACCCGGUCCCUGGCCUAUAAAAAGGAAACCGGGCCUUCUUUCUUCCACUCUCGACUCCACAACUCACUUACACACAUUCUCACACUUCGCACAAACACUCGCUUGCAAGUACCCAUUGUAAGCUCUAGUGCACUUGAAUCCAAGUAACAUGACUCAUGCCGAAACUGGACGUAGGGAUCUUUCCGAACCAGUAUAAACCCUCUUUUCUUGUGUACUAGCCAUUGAAAUUGAGAAGAGCGCGGUGUAUAAUCACUAGUCGGCGGUACAAAAUAACAGUAGAAAUUGUUUUACCAAAUAUUUUUCCAACAAGACAAGCCAAAACUACAAAAGUCGCUUCACCAAAAAAGUCAGAGCCAAAAUAAUUUUAGCAUGAGUCAGAAUUGUGCCAAACGAACCGUAAUAACAGAAAAUAGCGCGGAGUAAACAACAUAAUACUCCCUCAUUUAAUGCAUUUUUUAUGCAUAGGAAUUAGGAAGCACAUGGAGUCAAAGACAUCCUCAAGAUAUUGUGGGAAAAGAGUAAGUUUGGGCCAAAUAUCAAAAUUCAAUGUCAUUUCAUUUUCAAAAUGACCAAACUGGUCAUAUGGAAGAUGUUGUACUCUAGUUGCGCAUUUUUUUCUUUUCUCUCAUGCUAUACUUUAUAUGCUCAUUUAUAGGAGCGCUUAACGUCCAAAUUUUCAUUAAAUUCUAGAUAAAUUUUAUUUAAAAAUAAAUUUGUUAAUUAGUUAAAUAACUGAAUCCUAGUAUGAAAUUUUCGAUUUUUUUCAAAAUUCAUCUAUUUCGUUGGCAUCUUAAAUUUUUCGCGUUUUGAAUCCAAUGCACCAACAUUCACGAGCGUCUUUCAAAAUCCCAUUCCGUUCAACUGAGAAAAAGACGGUAAGGUGUCCCGGUCCCAGCUGCCAGCGAAGUCCGCGAACGAACUGAAGGAAACAAAAAACCAAGAAGAUGAGAGCAACUUGAACCGGAAGCGACUCGAGUAGGCGGUCAGUCCACUCCCACCACGCCCGACACGCCCACCCCUCCCACCGCUUCCCUCUCUACUCCAGUAGUCCAGUCUCCACGCACACCAACGACCCAAGCCACCGCGAUCAAAGCAGCCCGUUCGCCGCUCCGCCCGCCACCCGUCGUCGCCGGCAGCGAGCAUGAACCACGAUCCCAACCCCUUCGACGAGGGCGCCGACGACAACCCCUUCUCGGUAACCCCCUCUGCUCUGCUCUCCCUCCCCCCAUCCCCCAUUCCGCGUGGGUUUGGCACGAGCGGCGUGGCAGAUCUCGGAUGCGAGAGAUCUACUCGCUUGGCUCUGGGGGCGUGCUAACGAGGUGCUGCUUUGGUGCCGUGUAGAAUGGAGGAGGAGGAGGUGGGGGAGCGCGCGGCGGAGGCGGCAAGUCGCAGUUCGGGUUCCGGCCGGCGGAGCCCGUCGGGUUCGGCGGUGGCAGGGGCGACGCGACCGUCGACAUCCCCCUCGACACCAUGAACGUAAGAGAGGCUGAUGCUCCGUCCCGUUACUACUUCGUUGCGUGAUUAUUGAUCGAGCGAGCUUGUGUGGUAAUGUGGCUGUCUUUUGGGAUGAAGGAUUCGAAGGGCAAGGCGAAGGAGCUGUCGCAGUGGGAAUCAGAUCUCAGGAGGCGAGAUGCGGUAUGCGUGCCUUGCUGUUCCCUUGGAUUCUCACUGUUAAUCAUUGACAUGGAUCUUGACUGAAUUUUCUAUUCUUCCGUGGAAUCUUUCGGGGUCAAGGAUAUCAGGAGGAGGGAGGAAGCCCUCAGGAGCGGUAUGCUUCUGCGUUAUACUAAAAUUGAACUUAGCUCAAUGGUUAUCUUCCAUUACGUUCACAUGGAACAACGAAUUGAGUGUUGUUCAUUGACUUCUGAUUUGAUGCCGUAGCUGGGGUGCCCAUGGAGGACAAGAACUGGCCACCAUUCUUCCCAAUCAUCCACCACGACAUUGCCAAUGAGAUACCAGCAAACGCUCAGAAGUUGCAGUAUCUUGCGUUCGCGAGCUGGCUUGGUAUGCAUGCAUCCUUGAUUUUAGUUUUUAAUGCACGGUGUGCUACAUUUAGUGUUUCCAGGUGUUUGUACAGUUGUACUUACCAUCUUACCGAGGGUGUUGUUUUAUUGCUAUGAUGUACAGGCAUUGUGCUUUGUCUCUUCUGGAAUUUUAUUGCUGUCAUAGUCUGUUGGAUCAGAGGGGGAGGUGAGCUCAGGAUUUCUUUCUAGCUAGUUUCUGUCCUUUCUAUAUACUGCUUUUUCAUGCACCUCCACAUUUACUGUACUGUUGUACUUGACCUGCAGUUUAAGUACAUACAAGUGCUCAUUUUUAUUGCAUUGUUAUGCUUUUAAUGCAGCAGACCACUAAAUCUUGGAUAAUUUCAUCCUUGCAGAUUCCAAACUAUUUUUCCUGGCUACUAUCUAUGGUAUGCUUGGCAUCCCUUUGUCUUACUUGAUGUGGUAUAGGCCUCUGUACCGAGCAAUGAGGUAUGCAACUAUUGGUUAAUGCCUCCUGCUAUACAUACUGGUUAGAAAUUCGUUCAUACUGUUAAUUUAUGAAUUGCACUUCCUUUCAGCUGGACAUGCAUAAUUGCAUAGUAAUGAUAGUAUUGUAGUAGGCAAUAGUACAUUGUUGAUAUUCUGGUUUGACUAAAGUGAAGUACGAAAACAAUUUUUUACCAGAUGUGUUUAGCUUUAAAUGAUCUGAUGGACCUUCUGCUUUAUGUUUUCUAGCACUAACAGUGGUUUUGUACUAAUUCUCUGCUAACAUAUUUGACAGAACUGACAGUGCUUUCAGCUUUGGAUGGUUUUUCCUCUGCUACCUGGUAAUUUCUUCAUCAAGUCAUGGUUUCUGCAUUCUUGAUAUUGAUGCUAUGAACCUGAUUUGUUUACUUUAUGUAUCUUCGGCUGUGCACAGCUCCACAUUGGCUUUUGCGUAUUUGCCGCCAUUGCUCCUCCAAUUAUAUUCCGUGGAAAAUCAUUAACGUAAGCUUCCUUGCACAUCGCACAUUUGAUGGGAGUAUAGAAUUUUCAUUGACUACCAUCAUUUGACUCUUUCUUUAGUCACCACUAGUGGUGUUUGUUUAUGUUCACUCUUACGUAGUGCGAUUAGGAACACCUGACAUUACCUUUCCAAAAUUAGGCUGUGCUUGUUAAGUUUUGAACUUGAACUUCACUCUAGUUUACUAUUAUGUACUUAAUCUUUGAGUUGCUUUUCUUAAUGCUUACAGUUCAGAUAGAUUGUCUAUCUCAUUAUAAUUCUGCAAGACUCAGAAUUUUAGUUUGUCUAUUUUGUUCUAAUAGAAAUAUGCUUUGUUUGUCAUCAGGGGUAUAUUGGCUGCAAUUGACACUUUCUCAGAUCAUGCGAUAGUUGGGGUGAGUACAUCUAUAGAUGUUUUUUUAAUCUUUUUGCAGCUCAUUAUUAUAAAAGAGCAACUGCACUUGUUUUCGUCAAGCACUUUUGUGCUUUUAGUCUGCAAAGUCUUCAUUGCAAUUUAUAAGUUCAGAAGAUGAGUAUCUGACAUGUAAACCAAUUUCCUUUCCCUUCAGAUCUUUUACUUUGUCGGAUUUGCCUUGUUUUGCUUGGAGACACUUGUGAGCAUAUGGGUUCUUCAGGUCUGUGACUCCACUAUGCAUGUUUGCCAUUAUAUCUCUUCCGUCCUAUGCAUUGUCCUUUUCUUUCUCAAUUUUCAUGGUGUUAUGAAAGUCCUUUCUGUUAGUUCUUGGCACUCAAAUGCAUGUGGGAUACAUGGGCAUUUCAAUCACGACAGCCAUUUACGGUGGAUUGUAUAUGUUUUAUUUUCUGUUAUGCUCAUUUGAGAUCAAUAUAGUUACACACAGAACAAUUGUAAAUGUUUGAAUUUUAAAUCUUUAAUUCCUUUCAAAUAUAAACUUCUAUAGAAUAAGUAUGUCUUUUAUUAUAUGUGACUACAUUUAUCUCCAGGCUUCUAGCUAUUCAAUUCUAUGCAUAGUUCUCAAUAAACUGAAGUUCUCCUUAAAAUGUUGAAAACUAUAGGUUCCUAAUGUAGUUAUGAUUUCUACAUCUAUGAAUUUGUACGAAUUGUUUUGAGUUUUGCACCUGCAAUUUUUGCAUGGUGCAUAGGUUCCUAAUGGUUCCUUUGCUUUUUAUGUGUCACCUCGUCUGUUUCUAAUCCUUGUCUUUAUAGUUUCUAUGUUCUUUUUCGUCAUAAUAUUUGUUUCAACAAGGACUGCACAAGCAUACACAAUUAAAUACACAUUGUCAUAGAAGAAUAUAGGAAAGUUGAGAGUGAGCAUGUCGAGUCAUUGUGAACAAUGUUACCUUUUUUAUUUAAACCAUCAACAUGUGUGAAGAACUUUUGUUUAUACCAUACAUUCUGCUAAUACCAACACAGUUUACUUUCCGACCAAUACCAACAGUGGUUUGAUCUUCGUUUUGUUUGGUGUGUGCAGAAAGUAUACAUGUACUUCAGAGGGCACAAGUAGGCCAUGGAAGGAUUUCCAAUACAUAUGCUUGCGCUGCGGUUCUGUGCAUACACAUAAGUACAUGUCAGUCGUUGUAUGUUAUGACAAUGACAAUGUAAUUUUUAACAUUUAAAGUUUGUAUUUUGGAGGGGUAUGCCAUUAUAUUGUAGUGUCGUUUCUGGACCGAUCUAUUAUUUACUAGUAUACAAAGUACACGUCGUGCUCACUUCUGUUUGCUAGUGUGACUGAGCCGUUUAAGUGUCUGUUGGUGCCUCACAACAAGAGCCCUGGUUGUUGGAACCCAAGAUAGCAACCAUCCUGGCCUCCUGGGAUCUCAUUUGUAUGUUCUGUGACGUUGAAUUAAUCUCCCUGUCUUGGAGGUUCAGCUUCUGCCGGUUCUUGCCCUCAAUGUUUCCGACUCUGCUUACGUGUCAACAUCAGGAGUAGAUGAGACUCUCUUUGGUAAUAUUCUGGUUCUCACAUUUUCUGCCAGUCAGCAUGGAUGCAGCUGCGGCAACAGAGCCAGCAUUGCUGUCCACACUGUCGUGACACGAUUACGCAACUUUUUUUGGAGGAUUUUAUGUGGCAAAUUGGCAGUGCAGUAGCAAAUAUUGUUCUCGGCUCGUGAAUCCAAAUGAAUUCAUUUCUCUUGACGCGCACGGGCAUGUGUUUCGGAAUGGCAUAUCUGAAAAAAGGAAACGAAGAAGGGAGAUCCCUCACAGAUCACUUGGGCAUCAGGCGAUGCGGACGCUGACAAGUCCUGGCCGUCGAGUGAGGCGGAUGCUUACCUGGCGCACCCCCUACAGAGCAAUCAGGUUAUCGCGUGGACUGCAGGGGCACUGCGUUCCGAGACCAAGAACGUACAUGUCGCGUGAACAGCACGGUACAGGGGGAUCAUCAGCAACAUCCUCGAUCCAUUCCACCCAAAGUCCUCCCAGGUCUCUCAUCUGCAGCCACCCAUCAUUCCCUCAUCUGAAACCAGCCAUCCUCGCGCCGCCACGUGGCGAAACCAUAUCUAAAUUCAUGGAACCACAACCAAGCUUUCGCUCGUGCGGCCCGGGCCAUCACAAGUCAGGGAUCAGCUAAUCAGCAACGACAAAAGGAGCACAAGUAUUCUCCAGGUAUUAAAAUUUCAGACACGUAUAGGCAUCUCAAAUACGUAACGUAUUAGCAGACGAAACAAUAAUAAGCAGAAUAAUUUCAACGUAUAAACCCUCCAAAACCUGCUAUGGCAUGUUAAGAACACCAGGAAUAGUGGCCACUGAUAAAACAUUUUCGCUUUCCUGAGCAAGAAAAUUCAGCUUACAUCCAGCGGAAGAAUACUGACAAAAUACACUUGUACUAGGAAUGAAAGGAAGAACUCAUUUUCAGCUCAGUAUAGGACGCCCUUGAUGUUAUCAGAAAAAACAAAGUGAAAAAUAGGGACACCACAUCAUCGACAUCCUCUUGUCCUACUUAUGUUCUUCUAGCUCCACAUCCACCAUUCCAUUCUCACUCUCUUCUUCUCUUCAAGUUCCACUCACGAGGCUUGGAGGGAAGAAGAGAAGCUUAGCCCAGAACAAAGGCCGGCAAGCAAAAAAAUGGCGAUCAGCAGCGCGCACACCACCACCUCUCUGCACUCCCCAUGCACAACCGUCUCGAACGCAGGAUUCAGGCAGAAGCAAGUCAUCUUCUUCACCAGCAACAGGAGAGGCGGCAGAAGGCACGGAGGGGCAAGAACCUUCCAGAUUUCAUGCUCCGUCGAGAAGCCAGUGGUGAUUGGCCUGGCAGCAGACUCGGGAUGCGGGAAGAGUACCUUCAUGCGCCGGCUCACCAGUGUGUUUGGUGGUGCCGCAGAGCCACCCAAGGGCGGGAACCCGGACUCCAACACGCUCAUCAGUGACACCACGACCGUGAUAUGCCUUGAUGACUACCAUUCCUUGGACAGAACCGGGAGGAAGGAGAAGGGUGUGACAGCCCUCGACCCAAGGGCGAACAACUUUGAUCUCAUGUAUGAGCAGGUGAAGGCAAUCAAAGAAGGCCAGACAAUUGAGAAGCCAAUCUACAACCAUGUCACUGGCCUCCUCGACCCACCAGAGGUUAUCACGCCCCCAAAGAUUUUUGUCAUUGAGGGCUUGCACCCAAUGUAAGCUCAGUCUAUGCCCAUGCUCCACUUGCGGCUACUACUCUGGCUCAUUCUCUCAUAGUAUAUGGUGUUUGUUCUUUUGUUUCUUCAUUAUAUUCAUGGCUACAAUAAGUUUCCCCAGACAAACUUCAAUUCUCUGGUGCCUUGAGUUAAAAGAGCAAGUCAAAAUAACAGGAUUGUGUUAGAAACCAUGAAAACAAGCAGAAUUAUUUUCUCUUUCUAAUAUCUAAUUACCACUUAUUUGUUUCAAUCAGGUUCGAUGAGCGUGUGAGGGACCUACUAGAUUUCAGUAUUUACUUGGACAUCAGUGAUGAGGUUAAGUUUGCAUGGAAAAUUCAGGUCAG
rnacentral:lncRNA from 1 species